rnacentral:lncRNA from 1 species
AAACUUUUCCUCCGGGUCCGGUACGGGUUAAACCUGGGAAAAUCCGGGUUCCUGGAUUCUGGGUUUAGAACCCGGAUGAUUGCUAAAGAGAUGCGAUUUCCAUCUCUUCUUCUAAUAGAAUUCCUUUCCAGAUCUCUAAAUCUAUUCACAACAAUAAUGAAAAAUAAUUCAAAAUCAAAUAAUUAGAAAUAAAACCCAAGAUAAUCGAGCAUACAAAUUCAAUUUUCAAACAAAUCUAGCGAUAAUAAUGACAAGUUGGGCUUUAUGGGGAUUAAGUCAAGAAAAGGGGAAAGGAUAAAUGGCUGCUGAUUUUUUUUUUUAAUGGCAAAUGAACAUCUCACAGUAAAACACAGCCACAAAUUUCAGGUUGGUUGAUGGAAGUGUAGGCACGCUCGCCUUGACUUUCUUGCAGUCCUUGCAAUUCACUGCAUACUUCCUGCAAAAUUUGCAGAAAAUUUUGCUAUGUUGACUAAACCUUCACCUUCUUCAUUGCUUCCUCAAACUGACACCAUAACGGGUACCAAACUUUCUAACUAUUCCGGCGUUCUUUGCACGCCGUCAUAGUGGCAUCGGAGUGAAGAUCUGUAGCUCUUCAACAGUCAGCGGCUGCUUCAGACGUUAAGCGAUAAAGAAAUCAUACCGGCGUGCCAAUUGCGCCCGGUACACCUCCAUACUUCAAAAAUUAUCUCAAUACCCUAAAAUCUGUUUUUGCCAAAAUUUUCAUCGAUACCCUUUAAAAACUGAUAGAAAAUUACUAAACUAUCCUCAUUUUAAAAUAUUUGAACUCAACGGAUAACACCUCUCCCUUCUCUACUGAAACAAACAAACACUCAUCCGCUGCAAUUCCCUCCAUUAUCAAAUUCAAACAAACAAACAUUGCAAUUCCCUCACCGACAUCACCUCUACCGAAACAAACAUUCAUUCUCCAUACAUGGUAAAUCGAACUUCAACACAAGCAAACUAAGUCUGAGAAGGGGAAGCUGCCACAACUGAGAAAGUGAAGCAUAGUUCGUCACUACAUAAUCGCCGGAGAGAGUUGAUCAUUUACUACAAAAUUGUCAGAGUGUAACUAGUUGAGACAAGUAAUUCCAUGUAAUUAGUUUUCUUGUUAAUAUUCAAGGGAAAAAAAAAACAAAAAGCUAGGGUUUUAUAUUGAAAAAAUAGAUUAAUUAGUUGUGGGUCUCUCAUAACAUGUUCGAAAAUAAAUUUCUAGUUGUUUUGCUGCAUGCAAAUUGUGAAAAAUUAAUGGAUUGUGCUAAUUAUAAUUUUGUUAUGUAACACAAGAUUUGGUCGUGUAAGGUUAUGUAAGAUUCAAGGUUGUGUAUUACACGACCUUCAUGUAUUGCACGAUUACACGACCUUCAUGUAUUGCACGAUUACACGACCUUCAUGUAUUACACGUUUACACGACCUUCAUGUAUUGCAUGUUUAUACGACUUUCAUGUAUCAUACAAUUACACGAUCUUCUUGUAUUACACAAUUACACGACCUUCAAUUCCACAUUUUGUUUCUUGUCAAUAGAAUCUACACAUUACAUUUAGUUUAAUUAGACUCACAAUAAAUUGGAAUGGUGUAUAUACCUUUACCUUGUGAAAUGUCAUUAGUUAGAGAGAUUCUUAAUUUCCAAUUAUAAGCCAUGGUAAGUCAUGAUAUGUCUAGUUAUGAGUGGAAAUAUUUUAUCACUGCGAAUGGUGUUCUUAUGUGUAUAACAUUACAUUAAUUUCCUAUAGUUGAUAUUUUUUUUUCUUAAUUGAUUUCAUGGAUUAAUUAUAUGCAGACAUUCCUCAUGUAUGCUUGUAUGCUUGGCCAGAGGAAGAAAGCACUUUGAAGAUAAAAAAAAAAAAAAAAAAAAAAAAAACUUUUUAAAUGGCUGUAAUAUGUUUAAUUGCGACUUUAAAAUUACACGAAUUUUUCCAUUAAUCAUUAAAUUAAUUUAGUUCUUUAAAGACUUAAUUUGUGCUAAGAAUUUAUAUUUGCUGCUAUGCAGAAAAUGUCAACGAAAAUUAUUAAAAAAAAAAAGUGAAAUUAAAUUAGAAUCUAAAAAAAUUCCACAUCAUCAUUGGUUUGAAUUGUAACUGGUGGCAUAGGAUCAGAUGUCUUAAGUUUGAACUUCAUUGUGAUUUCGAAUUCCGAAGUAUCUAUAUCAAUAACUUCAGCUAUCUUCUCCACCAAUUCGGCAUAUGUUGUCGAUCGUGGUACCAUUAUCCCUUUAGCCUUUGAACCUUUGAACUUAUACUCGUCAUUUUACUCAAUCCAUUCACCAUUGAAGAGAAUAGGCACACGUACCAAAACCAUAUCUGAUGAUACAAUAAAAACAAUAAUAUUAAAUUUCAUAUACAAGUAACUACACGACCUACAUGACCUACACGACUAUAUUACUUACACGACUUACACGACUAUAUUUCUUACAUGACCUACACGACUAUAUUUCUUACAUGACCUAUACGACUUACACGACUAUAUUACUUACACGACCUACAUGACUAACUAUAUGACGUACACUGUAUCAAAAGAAUGCACGACUCGAAAUAUUUUCGCCAUAAAUAAGUUAUAUUGCUGAAAAAAAUAAUUAAACAACCUACAUUGCAUAUAUUUCUACGUAUAAAAAAAAAUUGUGAAAAUAAAACAUUGUAAUGUGGGGAAAAUUUCUAAAUUUUCCUAAAAAUUAAAAAAUUUAAAACCCAACAACAUUAACAUACCUUAUUGGGUUGUUUAAUAAGCAAUGCACCUUUAAAGAAAGAGCGGGUGUUAAAGAAAUGAAUACAUAAUUGUAUUUGUGUAAGAAAUUAUGAGAGAUUUUGAGAGAUUCUAAGAGAUUUUGAAAGAAUCGGCAGCAAAAAUAGAUUUUGGGUGAAAGAAAUGAGGAAAGAAAUAUGAAGACAAUUCAUUGAGUGAAUUUGAUGCAUUCAUUAAGGGUAUUUCCGACUUUGCUCAUAUUUGUUAGGGUAUCCAUUAAAACAAAAAAGGGAGGGGGUAUUUAAAUAAUUUUGAAACUAUUAAAGGGUAUUUAAUUAAAAACCCCCAUACCGGGCGGCUGAAGAAAGUUUUUUUUAGGCUUUAGGGUUUCUCUUGUUUUUUUGCCCUUUUUAUACUUAAAAUUUAUUAUUUAAUUAAUGUUAAAAUAAAAAUAUCCGGGUCCGGGUUCCGGGUCCGGGUUCCGGAUAUCCGGGUUCACCUAAACCCAGAACCGGACCCUGAUUUUUCCGGGUUUAAAAUAUUGUUUCCGGAUUCCGCAUUAUUUAAUAUCCGGGCCGGGUUUAAUCCGGACCGGAUAAUCCAGAUUUUUCCGAGUUCAGGUUUAUUUGCCAUCCCUACUCUUUAGUGUCUAGAGUGUUAAGCAUCAAUUCUCAGUUCGUCAAGGUAUUUCUUAAACUAAAAAAAUUCAAAUAUCACAUUUAUUAUGCAUCAAAUGUUAGUUUUAAAAGAAAAAGUUAAAUUUUACUUUUUGAUUAAUCCUUCAUGAAUAAUAAUAAAAAUAUUUACAGUUGCUCGUGAAGAUAAUAAAAGUAACUCAUUUUCCAUUAUAAAAAAUCAGUUAAUUAAUAAGCAACAACAAUGAUACCUGGGAAUUUUUUUUUUUUCCAAAAUAUGGGGACCAAUUAAAAAGUUAUGCCUAACCCUAAAAAUUAAAGAAGAAUCCACCCAUCCGGUAGCAAAUCUUAAAUAGUUAUCAACAAAUUAAAGUAGGUGGCAAGACGAACACGACUGGUAAAGCAAAAGAAAAUUAAUUUAGUUAAAAUUAAAAAGAAAUUAAGAAAAAAAUUACUUUCAUUUAAUAAAUUUAUUUUUUUUAAUGAAAAUUGAAAUAUAAGCUGGAACACGAAAAGGAAAAAUUAGCCUCUCUUAAUUACUCGGAAGGAAAGUUUCCAAGAAUAUGAUGUGAUCAAAUGAAGACCAUUUCCAAGAAAUGCAUGAUUAAAUUGAAGAAAGAAACUAAGAAAUGCACAAUGAAAUAAUUGAUGCAAGUUGUGGUUCUUUUAAGGAGAAAUGAUUAAUUUUCACAAACAAGAUUAAGGGAGAUGGAUAUAUUUUCUAUCCAUUCUUUCUUUUUUCUUUCUAACGUGUCUUUGAAGAAAUUAACUUCUAUAAAUCCAAGAUUGCAAGAAGUCUAGCAAUUAUAAUUUUUGUAAAAAAAAAAGGAAAAAAUUAUAUAUAGCGAAAACUCUCUUUGAUUUAUUCGCAAUGGCAGGAAUAGAAAUCGUUCCAGGUGCCAUUAUAGGUGUUGCAUUUCAACAAGUAUGGAACGCCAUUAAAGAAGUAAAUACUACACACAACCACUUCAACCCAACCCUAAGAUGGCUUGGAAAACAUGAUCAAGUCGUAUUGUUAUUAAUUUGUGAAGUAUUUCCAAAUACUCACUGUUCCAAAUUGACAAAACGUAUAUGGCCUUCACACGUGAGCAUAUGUGCUUGGCCCAUUUUUUGGCCACUUGAUGAAAGCUAAAUAUAUUUUUAUUUUUAAAUUAAAAUCAGUUAGUUAAAUUGAUAGGAAUAGGAAUUGCUCGUGCGUCACUUAAAUAACUUCUAGCACAAAAGUUGUUAAGUGACUCUUAUUGAACUUCUCAAGCUAGCCAAACAAGAUGAUUGCGGAAAUGUUAGAGAGAAGAAAGAGUAAUAUGGCCAAAAUACAUGAGUUUUUUACAAGAGUGCUUGAGUUGCUUGUGCUAGGUGUGUUGUGUGUGUGUGGUGUGGUGGUGAGUAAAAUGGUGAGUGUUAGGCCCUAUUUAUGGAGUUGCUCCCUAGGUCUAGACUGUUCAUGCAACUUGCUUAAAAAUCUACCUAUUUAUAAGGUGUAGAGAAAUCUAGAAAUUGGGCUAGGCUUGUUUAUGGGUUGCCCGCUUACUAAGCGCACCACAAUUUGUUAGUAGUAUGAGGCGGCCUAUUGCUGAGCUCACUUUGUUGUCGAGCGCAUCCUACUAUUGGACAGACUUUUACUGAGUGUACCCGUGUGCGCCAAUUUAGCCCCCAUUUGCGGCAAAUUUGAGCAGACCGUGACAUUCCUCCCCUACCUAUCCUUGUGGCGUCCUCGUUGCGUUCUCGUGCUUGUAACUUGGAUGUGUUUUGCGAAUUGCCAUAGGUAUUCUUUGCAUUCCCAAGUGGCUUCGCUCUUGGUGAGAUUCCUCCACUUCACCAAGUACUCGUUGUAGGCCGGUAUACCCCUUCUUUAGAUUAUUUGAUCAGUAAGGAUGUACUCCAUGUCUUUGUCGAACGUGGUUACAACAACCGUUAGGGCACAUCUUGACUCACCUCGACUUGGGUCUUCCGCAUCCCCAUGGUAUGGCUUCAGUAGACUCACAUGGAAGACCGGAUGAAUUUUGAGUUUUGACCAAAGUCAGAGUUGAUACGAUACAUUUUUUACAUGUCGUACAACUUAGAAAUACCCUUUUGUAUUGCUUCAUUUACUUCUUGUGGACUUUCCGCGAAGUUUUGAAUUGUUGGGGUAGGAGCUUGAUCAUGACUUGGCUGCCUUCCUUGUACUUGACGUGGCAUCUCCUUUAAUUAGCCCACUUUUUCAUCUUCCGUGUGGCUUUGUCGAAAUAUGCUCACCUAAUGUCCGCUUCCUCGUGUCAUUCGAGGGCGAGCUUGUGAGUCGCUGGGCUUUUUCCUCUGUAUGUCAAGGCUAUGGCAUUGGGAGUCAUAGGCUGGAAUCCCAUGAUGAUCGUGAAUGGACUCUUGCCUAUAGCCUCACUCCACUGUAGAUUGUAUGAGAAUUGGGCAACACCUAGCAACUUUGCCUAAUCUUACUGAUGAGCGCUUACAUAAUGCCUCAAAUACAUCUCGAGGAUGUUGUUGAUACGCUCUGUCUGCCUAUCAGUUCGGGUGGAAGCUUGUUGAGAACUUGAGGUUAGUUUGCAACAACUUCAAGAGCUUUGUUCGAAAGCGUCCAGUGAAUAGUGGAUCUCAGUCACUCACAAUACUCUUCAGAAACCCCCACAACUUCACAAUAUGCUUGAUGAAAAAGUGGGUAAUUUCGUCCACUUCGCAAUCGCUCAUGUGAUGAUGAAUAUCGCGUACUUCCUGUAGCAAUCGACAACAGCCAUGAUGCUUCUGCACUAUUCGAACUUGGGUAAGGCCGAAAUUAAGUCCAUGGUGACACUUUCCCAUGGCCUUGAUGCUAGUGGAUUAAGCUCCAAUAAUUUUGCUGGAAGUUGGUGAUCGAUCUUGUCUUGUUGACACAUAAGACAAGCCCACAAGUAUGCCAUGUUGUCGUCUCUUAUAUGCGGCCAAAAAUAAAAGGCUUGGACUAGUGCGGUUGUGCACUCAACUCUAGGGUUGCCAACCCACUACGAAUUAUGGCACUCCUUGAUGACUUCUUUCCGCAAAUUCCUCUAUUUAGGCACGAAUAGUCGAUCUCUUUUGGUGAGGAGGGUGCGUUUGUCUUGUCAAAAUUGUCUUGGUCUUGCCUUCGAGUACUUUCCCUAACAAGUCUUUCGCUAAAGGGUCAUGUUGGAGACCUUCCUUGAUGCGUGCGAUAGACCUGACAAAAUUUGACACGAUCCGAUUACUCGACACGAAUACGACAUGAAUAAAUGGGUAUGGGUCAUCAAAUUUGACAUGAUUAUUAAAUGGGCUGGGUCUAGGUUGACACGAUUUUUUUCCUUGCCGGGUUACGGUUAAAAUUCUUGACCCAUUUACCUAACCAAUGACACGGUUAUAUUUUAUUUUUUAAAUUAAUUUUUAGAUUCUUGUCAUUAAAACUCAAAUAUUAAAAAUAAUUAUCUCUUUUUACUUUUUUCGGAAGGGUAGAUAUAUACACAGUGUUUUAUUUAUAAAAUUAUAUAUAGAUUUAAAACUUUAAUAGUGUAAGUGUGUAAAAUAUUGGUAUACAUAUAUAUUAAAUGGGUCGUGUUUGACAUGAUUAUUAAAUGCUGCACGGCAUGACCCGUUAGCCACCUCUAUUCAUGACCGAGACAAUUAUGAGGGAACAGAGUAAUGCAUCCAAGACAAGUUAAGAAUCUAAAUCGAUUAAAAAUAUUUCAUUUUACUACAAUCAAACAGCACAAACAUCAUAAAUGCAACAUGGAUUCUGGAAACCGAAAGGUUAUAGAUGGUGGAUGUUCUCACAAAUGCUAAACAGUUAACUCAUGCUAAACCACAUCAGAUUGUUGGUUAUUGUUCCCAAUUCUUUAUAAAUGUUAAGAGAAAAGAAACUUCCUGGAUUGGAUUAUCUGGAAAAGCAACAUAUAUCAGCAUAUCGAAAUGUGCCUCAAUCUUAAGGGCACGGAUGCUUGAUAAAGCUUCUUUCAUCUCAUGGCCCACCACUUGAUAAACAGUAUUUAUAUUAAAGUAAUUUAUGCUAAAUGUAUUAUAUGUUAACAGCGACGUUCAAAAAAGAUACUUAACACUCUCGGUGGAGGAAAACAUACAGUAAUUUUACGAUGCUUAGGGGCUGCUCGGUAUAGUUUUGUAAUUGGUGUUCUCAUUUUUAGUUUCAGGAUUCAAGUGUAAUCAGUGUUCGGUAGACUUUAUCCAAGAACCAUGUUGUAAAACACAAAAUCCAAAUUCUAUUUGAUAGUUAUAAAUCAGAAGACAACUUUGACAUGUUUUCUCUGUUCUUUAAAAUAUACCACGAAAUAAAUUACAAAACAUUAUUUGAUACUAUUUCCAGGACAUGAUAAUAAAUUAAUUUUUUCUUUCACCAACAGUCAUCUCCCGCAUCACUCAUCAUCUUUAUCUCUUCUCAACCUUAUUUUUUCUCCGCUUUCAACUGUAAUCGUUCAUCUCUCUCCCUUGCCAAGAAAACUUAUCUCUUGCAACUCACCUCUCAUUUUCUCUAUCUUGUAUUCCCCAGCAGAGAACUAUAUAUGUAGGUGUUAUUUUCUUUUAAUUUUGUUUAAACUUUCGUAUCGUAGGCUCAGGCUAAGUAAGAAAGUCAAAUCUGCAUAGACAACAAAGUACAAUUUCUUUUACUUCUCCCCCUUCUCCCCCAGUCCCCCGGGCCCCUAAAACAAAAAACUGUAAUUAGUUUAUGGGAUUUGGGUUGGCAACAUCAUUAUUUUAUCCAAAAGAAAUUGAGACCUUGAGUGGAUCAAUAUAUGGAUUUAUUUACUUUUUUUUUUCAGUUCUUUUCAUUUGAUAUAAAUGAUUUUAAAUUAUAUUAAUUUGUAUUAAAUUUAACUACAAUUAUAACUUAAAUAUUGAAUAAAAACUAUUUUAAAUAUGGUACUAUUGAAUAAAUAUUCACUGUUUUUGUAUUUCUCAAUUGUAUCGAUCGAACACAUGUCAUUGUUUUCAAUUUUAAAAUAUAAGAUACAUAAAAUAAUAUCAAGACACAUACUUAACUUCGAAAUGCAGUAACGGUAAAACACCAAAUUUAAUUUUCAUUUUUAUUUUCAAAAAAUACCAAUUCAGAAACAAUAUCGAACAAGCUCUUAUUUUCUAAAGUAUCUUAAACACGAAUAAAAGUUUUAAGUGAGGCUAUCAUGUAUAAUCAAAUAGCCUAAAAAGAAAAAGUCAUUGGAUAAAUUGUAAUUUGGUAUCUAAUAAAGGACUUAUCUGCAUUAUCAUUAUUACUAAUAAUAAAUAAUAAAGGAUCUAUUGUAAAUAAUACAAAAAUUCUUAGUAUUUUCAUAAAUUCUUUAUGGACCAAAAUGCAAAAAUGACAGAAUUUGAUUGAGGGUAAUUUGAAGAUUAUAAUUAUUUAAUGGGGUAAUAAUGGGUAGUUUCGGGUAUCUAAGUUUGAUUCCCAAUCCUCCUUGGGAAUCAAAUCUAUGGGAAUGAUUCCUAAAUUUAUGGACUCCAACUAUUCAUUCUAAUUUUCACUCUUUUUUGUAAAGUAAAUGAUGUUAAUAAUUCUAAUUUUAAAUUCUGAUUUCUCAAUUCGAGAAGUAAAAACACCCUAAGAGUUGUAGACCCUACUACUCUCAUUCACGCUGAAAUGCAUAGGUAGGCAACUCGUUUUUUACUUUUUUUUUUCAAAUAUUUUGUUUGUUUCCAGGAAGAGUUGAACUAUUGUCUAUUGGCACCUUUUUUAAAAUUUUAUUAAAAACUCUAUCAUGUAUUUAUAUUUUUACACACAACUGAAAUUUCCUAAAAGACAUGUAUUCGAUAAAACUAACUCAUUAAUUUGAUUUCAAUGAAAACUCUUUACAACCAUAUUCAGUUAUAUGUUCAAAAUUUCAAUUAAAAUCGAUUUACCACAUGGAAAACAACACAACUUGAGACAUUUUCAAAUCCUGCAAUAAGUUUUAUGGUCAAGAAGAUUUAAUAAGGUCGAGACUUUGAGUUCACAAUUCUUGUGCGGUUGCAGUUGUAGUUGAGCUGAAAAAGUCAAUACCGUAAGUAAUUUUAUGAGUUCUAUUCCAGACCAAAAUUCUUUUAUAAAAAAGGAACUAAUUUCUUUAAUAAUCCUUCACAAAUUAGCAAGCAAAACGUCAGUCUCUCAAAAUAAUCUCUAGCUAUUUUAAUCAAAACAAACCACUCUCAAAUUUAUUUGCUUGCUUAUUUGAGCAAACCAACAAAUCCUAGCAAUGUCCUUAAAAUUUCAGCAAACCAGCAACUCCUGAAGUAGAGAUGGCCAAUGGGCCAGGCCGACAAGGCCUAUGCGUGCUUGUGCCCGUGUCGUGUUGUGCCCACUAUGUGUUUCGUACCGUGUCGUGUCAUGCUUAAUUUUUUUUUCUUGGGCCUGGCCUUGCACACGUGCCGUGCCCACUCGUGCUGUGCUCACAUGUGUCGUGUCGUGGGCCGGGUCGGGCCAGGCUGUGUCUAAAGAAAAAAGUCUAAUGAGUUUUUUUUUUUUAAUUUUUUUAAGAGCGCAUGCCAAGCUAUUGCCGUACUUUUUUCAAGUCUAUUUUUUUUUUAGGUCCAUGUGCCUUUAUUUAAAUUUAGCAGAAUCGAAAAUUCAAAAUUUAAGUCCAUAUUCAAUAAUAAUAAACUAAUAAUAGUAAGAAAAUGGAAUAUUAAUUAUUAAGUUUGAUCUUAUAGUACUAGAUUUUUUUUAAUACUUAACAAUAAUAAUAAUAAUAAUUUUUUUUAAGGGUUAACUUAAUUGUUAACUUUGACUUACAUAGAGUAAUAGAUCAUAGUUCACAAUAAUUUUAAUGCCUAUUUAUAAAAUCAUUAUAUUUAUAAUUUUAUUCAUUAAAAUCAUGAUAUCAAUUAUUUAUUUAAUAAAUUAUAAAUAAAGAUGGCCAAUGGGCCGCACGACACAUGUUCGUAUAGCAUGGCACAACACGAGCACGUUUCAAUGGGGCAAGUGGCACGACACGACACGCACGUGGGUUGGGCCGGGUUUAGAAUUUUAGGCACGCAGGCCUAGCACGGCAUGAUUAGAGAUGAGUUAAGAAUAACACGAUGAAAAAGCCCAUAAUAAGCAUGUUUUAUUUUUUAAUGAAAGUAACUUAAAAUUUUAUGAUUUUACAAAAAAACUUGAAAUAGAAUUUUUUAAAUUUAAUUAAUUCUUAGUUUAAAAAAAAUACUAUAAUUGAUUUAUAUUUAUAAUUUAUUAAAUAAAUAAUUGAUAUCAUGAUUUUAAUGAAUAAAAAUAUAAAUAACAUGAUUUUAUAAAUUUGUAUUAAUAUUAUUGUGAACUAUGAUCUAUGACUCUACGUAAGUCUAAGUUAACAAUUAAGUUAACCCUUAAGAAAUUUUUAUUAUUAUUAUUGUUGUUAAGUAUUAAAAAAAAUUAUCAUACUAUAAGGUCAAACUUAAUAAUUAAUAUUAUAUUCUCUUACUAUUAUUAGUUUAUUAUUAUUAAAUACGGACUUAAGUUUUGAAUUUUUGAUUCUAUUAAAUUUGAAUAAAAGCAUAGACCUAAACAAAGUACAUUGACUUGAAAAAUGUAUACCAAUAGCUUGGCAUGCGCUCUUAAAAAAAUUUAAAAAAAGAAAAAAGCUUAUUGGGCUUUUUUCAUUAGGCAUGACACAGCACGGCCCACGGCACGAGUGGGCACGGCACAUGUGCCGGGCCGGGCCUAAGCAAAAAAAAAAAAAAAUUAGGCACGGCACGACACAACAUGUAACAUAUAGUUGGCACAUCAUAGCACAGGUACGAGCACGCAUAGGUCUUGCUUUGAUGGGCCAGACCGGCACAACACGACUGGUUCGGUCCAUUCGUCAUCUCUAAUUAUAAAAUAAAUCAAUUAUAGUAUUUUUUUUUUUGAAACCAAGAAUUAAAUGAAUUUAAAAGAUUCAAUUUCAAAUUAUUUGUAAAAUCAUAAAAUUUUAAAUUUACUUUCAUUAAAAAAUAAAAUGUGCUUAUUGAGGACUUUUUCAUUGUGUCGUGCUUAGCUCAUCUCUAAUCGUGUUGUGCUUUUAAGGCCCGCGCGCCUAAAAUUAUAAGCCCAGCCCGGCCCGACCCAGCCCACAUACGUGCCAUGUCGUGCCGUGCCCCACCAAAACGUGCUCGUGUUAUGUCGUGCCACGUGCCGUCCGAUCCAUUGGCCAUCUCUAUCCUAAAGUAUCGCAAAUUAACAAACCCAAGCAGAUACCAAUUUGGAAAAAAUCUAUUUAGCCAUUACUCAGGUUUGUCAACAACUUUUUUUUUUCCUUUUUUUCUAUUUUAGGUUACUUUGGGAAUAAGUAAGGUGUUGUAAAAUUGUCUAAUAUUUUUUUUUAAUGUUUUAAUGGGGUGAGUUAAGGAAAGGGGUUUUAAAAGUUGUUUAGAGGGGUCCUAAUAGUUGCAUCCUUCCGGGAAAAUGUUAUGUUGUGCCAUAAAAAUCAAUGGAGGUUUUAUUUAUUAACGUUAAAAGAAUAAAUAAUAAUGUAUUAUACUAUAGCUGUAAUACGGGGCGGUGGAAGAAAAUUUUGUAAAAUACUAGCUGCUAAUUUAUAUUUUAUGUAAUUUAUAGUUGACCUAAAAAUAAUGUCUCAUGACCUUUUAAUUCUUUGAUAGCAAUAAUUAAGUCAUAAGAAGAAUUAAUUCUGAAAUAUACUAUAUGAAACAUAGAACGAAAUAAAUGAAAUUUUUAAUCUUAAACAUGAGAUAGAAAUUACAAAAUAUGAAAUAAAUUUUUGUCUUUUUUGAAUAUUUAUUUUAUUUUUAACAUAAUAUUUGUACUAAAAAAUCUUUGUUUAAAUUUUACUUUAUUUGGUUUUUUAUUAUUUUUAAUAAACAAACUAUAUCAUAAAUGAUUGAUUUUAAUUUAAUUUAUAUUAAAAUACAAAUAAAAUUGAGCAACUUGUUGCAGUCCGUUAAAAAAGAUAAUUUUGUUGUCAGAUGGUAACCAAACAAUGUUUGUUUACUACAUGGAUUGGAGAAUUGAAAACCAUAAUCGAAAUCAUUGAUAACAUUUAUUUCACAAAAUAAGAGAAAGAAUGGAAAUUAAAUAGGUGGAAUCCAUCUCAAAUUAGGUUUCAGGUAUGAGAGACUGAUUUCCAAGGGGUGGGAAUUAGUCUCCCAUUCCAGGAUUAUUGAUUUUUCCCCUGUUAAUAUUCUGAUUUUUUGAAAAUGCUCUCUCUUUAAAUAAAAAAAAAAGAUAACAAAGAAUUAAAAAAAAAAAGUAAAUCAAUUGUAGCCAACACAAGCCUCACCGUCAUUGCCAAAAUGAAGCAACACCAUCGUUUCGCUGGUCAUCAGUUGUGGAGCAGUAGUAGCUACCUUGUUGCCACCGGUUCCGAGUUGAUGAUGUUGAUGAGGUUGACGACGACGAUGAUUUGUUGUUGCUCUUCUUAAUGAUGAUGAUUUUGAUCAUUACUGUUUAUUUUUUAAAUGGAUUAUUAUUAUUGACAAUAAUUAUUAAUUAUAGUACUAAGGUUGCGUUUACAUUUCGGAUUAUAGUGGGAAUCUUGAGAUUAGAAAUGUAGAGUGGGAGUGAGAGUAGAAGUAGGUUGUUUACUUACACUAGAAUGAGAGUAUGGAAUUGAAACUAGAAUCCAAUCUAUGUGUUUACAUUAUCUUGAAUUGUGAGUAAAUGAUUUUAAAUUACAAUUUUACCCUUAUUUAAAGAAUUAUAGUUUUUAUAUACAAAAUUAAUAAAAAAUAUAUAUUUAAAAAAUAAAAAAUUUAUUUUAUUAUAUUUGUAAAUUAAUAAUAAUUAAUAAUAUUCUCAAUUAUGUAAAUCACAAUUUUUUAUUAAUUUUAAUUUUAAUUAUGUAAAUAAAAAAUUAUUAAUAAGAGCAACACAAAUGAAACAUUAUUAUUAAUAAUAUAGUACAAAAUUAAUAUUUUUUAGAAUAAAAUAUUUAUUAUUAUUAAUCACUAAUAUUAAUAAAUAUAAUAAUAUUAUAUUUUCAAAUAAAAAUAAUAUAUAGUAAUAUUAUUAAUUCUCUAUAAGUAUAAUAAUAUUAUUUUUAAGUAAUUUUAACUUAGAAUCAACGUAAAUUAUUAUUUUUAACUAAAUAUAAUAAUAUAAUAUUUAAAUAUGUUUAAUAUUAUUAUUUUUAAUAAAUAUAAAAUGUUUAAAUAAAUAUGAUUUUAUUUAUUUUAUUAAAUAUUUUUAUUUUAUUUUAUUAAAUAUAAGGGUAAAAAUGGAAGAGAGGGAGUGGAUUCCCACUCCCACCUCCCCUCAUUGGAGUAGGAAUCCCACUCCCCACUCCAAAAUUAGGUGGGGCCCACGGAGUGAGAGGAAUCACACUCCUCACUCCCACUCUAAAAAGUAAACACAAUAUAAUAAUAGUAGUAAUAGUAAUACUAGUACUAAUAGUAGUAAUAGCAGCAGUAAUAGCAAUAUAUUAAUGAUAAAAAGUAUUAUAAUUAAUUUGUAUAUUAAUGUUAAUAACAAUUUUUUAUUAUUAUUGACAAUAAUUAUUAAUAAUAAUAAAUUUUGAAUAAUAAUAAUCACAAUAAUUAAAAUAAAAAAUAAUAAUUAUGACAAUAGUUAUUAAGGAUUUUUUUAGUAAUUUGUAACAAUCUAACUCAUUCUAAUUCUGAUUUCAAUAGAAAAUAAAUACAUUAAUAGCAAUACAACUUAUUAUGAUUCCAAUUCCUACAACUAAAGUAAAUAAUUUAUUAUGAUUCCCAUUUUUUAUUUCGAUUCCAACUUAUUCCAAUUACUAGUUAGUAAAUGUACCAUAAAUGGGAGCCAAUCUACCAUACAACGAGUUUACAAUAGUGCUAGCAAAAAUAAGUCCCUGUACUUCAUAAAAAAAAAAAAAACAAAUCCUAUAUAGCCACCUAGAGCUGGCAAAAUUUGACACGACCCCAAUUACUCGACACAAAUAAAUGGGUAUGGGUUAUCAAAUUUAACACAAUUAUUAAAUGACCAAGUUCAGGUCAACACAAUUUUUUUCUAUGUUAAGUCAAGGUUAAAGUUUUUGACCCAUUUACUCGACCAAUAACACGAUUAUAUUUUUUUAACUUAAUUUAUAGAUUCUUAUCAUUAAAACUCACAUAUUGUACAUGAUUCUCUCUUCUUCUUUUUUUUUGGAAGGGUAGAUAUACACACAAUAUUUUAUUUAUAAAAUUUUAUGGGCUUAGGUGUUCUUUUUGACUUAUGUGGCUCCUUAUCAGUGUACCAAUAUUUUACACACUUACACUAUUAAAGUUCUAAAUCUAUGGAGACUAUACUUGAGCAUGCAACCCAUGCAUGAAACAUGCAUCACGUGGAAAUAGCAUGAGAGUAAGUACUGGAGCAAGUUUCGGUUGGUUUACUGCGUCAACUAAUCGUGGCAAAUUUGGUAGGGAUCAUAUAUUUGGUUGUUGCAUUUGAGUUGUAUAUUGUUUCGAGUUUAAAGCUAGGUUGUUUAAUAAAUAUUUGCUACUUCUUGUUAUUAGCUUUGUUUAUACCGUCUUUCACGAUUGCAAAGCAGAGUUGUUUGUUACACUUCGAACUGUUAAUAGGCUUCAGUGAUGAAUAAAGAAUUAUCUAGAAAAUUAUCCAUACUUUUUUUCUUGUAGUUGUUCUCACCCGAAGAAGAACAUCUUAAUUCUAUUCAUCAAUUGUUAGCUAGCUACUGACUGGGACCACAUCAAGUGGUAUCAGACCGAGGUUCGACAAUGGCAACUAACAAGGAACGGAUUGAACGCGUAGAAGCUGAGCUUGGGGAUAUGCAAGAUAGCAUGAAACGAAUGGAGUUAGGGAUCAAUGACAAAUUGCAUCACUUGGAAGAGACUCUCAGUAAGUUAGCUGAGUUAAUUAGCGCCUCCAAAGGGACGCCAAGCCACAACAACCAUGAGAAUGCAGGUUCAUCAUUGCCAUGCCGUGAAGUGAUUGAAAAUGGUCGUCAACAGUUUCCAUCUAGAUUGGCCAAACUAGAAUUUCCUUGCUACUCCGGCGAUGAUCCAACCGAGUAGAGCAAUCGAGUAACACAAUUCUUCGAAUACGAAGAAACAACAAAGGAUUAGAAGGUGGCGUUGGCUUUCUUCCACCUUGAAGGCGAAGCCAACCAGUGGUGGCAAUGGUUGCACAAGGCUUAUAAAGAAGAAGGUUGUACAGUGACAUGGGAAAUAUUUGUAGAGGAGUUGUGGGCUCGCUUUGGUCCAACGGAAUGCGAGGAUUUCGACGAGGCAUUAUCCCUAUUAAAACAAACUGGUUCUCUUCGAGACUAUCAAAAGGAAUUUGAAAGGCUGGGUAACAGGGUUCAUGGGUGGUCACAGAAAGCAUUGGUAGGGACUUUCAUGGGGGGACUCAAAUCGGAAAUAUCAGAGGGUAUUCGCAUGUUUAGAACAAAAUUAUUAAAAGAGGCAAUCAGCUUGGCAUGAAUGAAAGACGAACAAUUAUCGUGGCAGAAGAAGUUGUUGUGACCAUCACUCAGCAAUCAUAUACCGCCAGCACAACCAAUCAUUAACAGAGUUGCCCCAACAGUGCCCUUCAAAAGACUGUCAUGGGAAGAGAUGCAGCGAUGCAGAGCGCAAGGUUUAUGUUUCAAUGCAAUGAAAAGUUCACUACAGGUCACAAGUGUUCAAGGGUUCAACUCUUAAUUUUAGAGAGUGAAACCAUAUCAGACGAGACUACCUUUGAGGAAAUUAUAGAAGAAGUACAACGAGGAAUAGAAUAAUGAGAAACCAUUGAUCCUAAAAUCACCUUAUAUGCACUAACGGGAUGGGCAACACUUCAAACUAUGCGUGUGAUAGCAAAAGUUGGACCAUAUGAAAUUAUAGUCUUAAUUGAUAAUGGAUCGACGCAUAACUUCAGUAGUACAAGGUUGGCCAAUAUGCUUAAUCUACCAAUCAUGCCCACGACAACAUUUUCGGUUCGAGUAGCAAUCGGAGAAAAUUUGACAUGCUAAGGGAAAUUUAAGAAAGUACGGGUCUUGAUACAAGAAGUUCCUUUUUCACUUACCUUUUAUUCACUCGCUAUCACAGGAUUAGAUAUAGUUCUAGGCAUUCAAUAGCUUGAGAUGCUGGGUUCAGUUGUAUGCAAUUGGAAAUCCCUCACAAUGGAUUUCAAUUGGGAGAAUGAGAAUCGGUGAUUGGAGGGGAUUGGACCUCAAACACUACAAACAACCUCCUUGACAGAAAUCACAAAGGAAAUGAGACAAGGGCAUUCAAUUUUUGCAGUUUGCUUGCACAUGAAUAUAAAGGAAUCCUUAAGCACGACACCACCAGACAUGCAAGAUUUAUUGAAGGGAUAUAUGGACUUGUUUCAAGAGCUAACUCAACUACCGCCUACAUGUGAGAUUGAUCACCGUAUCACGCUUAAGGAAGGAAUCGAGCCCGUCAAUGUUAGGCCGUACCAUUACGCCUAUUUCCAAGAGGCUGAGAUCGAAAAACAAGUACACGAGAUGAGUUGUUGCUUCAAUUAAAAAGAAACCUAGCAACGGCAACAAAUAGAAUGAAGCAAGUGGUUGAUAAAAAACGACGAGAAGUUGAGUUUCAAGAAGGUGAUAUGGUGUUCUUAAAACUUCAGCUGCACCGUCAGUCUACUGUUUUCAAGUGUGCCCAUCAGAAACUGGCAAGUGAAUUCUUUGGGCCGUACCAAAUUCUUCACAAAGUGGGCAAUGUGGCUUAUAAGUUACAGUUACCAGCAGGGUCACGUAUCCAUCCAGUAUUUCGUGUGUCUUUACUUAAAAAAGUUAUUGGCAAUUUACCUCAAUCUACCAGUGACCUACCAUCUAUUGAUGAUGAGGGAGUACUAAUAUUAAAACCUGAUUAUAUUGUUGAUGCUCGAUGGUUGAAACGGGGUAGCAAGUUUGUUGAGCAAAGCUUAGUUCGCUGGAAGCGACUGCCACGCGAAGAAGCAACUUGGGAAGAUACUGAUGUGAUCAAGCAGCGGUUUCCUCAUAUGACCCUUGUCCUCAAGGGUCCACUUCAUGGAGGGGGUAUUAAUAAGGAGCCACGUAAGUCAAAGAGAACACCUAAGCGUAACAACACAUAUUAAGACUAUGCUUGAGCAUGCAAGCCAUGCAUGAACACAUGCAUCACGUGGAAAUAAUAUGAGAGCAAGUACUGGAGCAAGUUUCGGUUGGUUUACUGCAUCAACUAAUUGUGGCAGAUUUGGUAGGGAUCAUCUUUGGUUAUUGCAUUUGAGUUAUAUACUGUUUCGAGUUUAUAGCUAGGUUGUUUAAUAAAUAUUUGCUACUUCUUGUUGUUAGCUUUGUUUAUGCCGCCUUUCACGGUUGCAAAGCAAAGUUGUUUGUUACACUUAGAACUAUUAAUAAGCUCCAGUGAUAAAUAAAGAAUUAUCUAGAAAAUUAUCCAUACUCUUUGUGUUGUGGUUGUUCUCACCCGAAGAAGAACAUCUUAAUUUUAUUCAUCGAUUGUUAGCUAGCUACUAAUUAGGACCGCAUCAUACACAUGUAUAUUUUAUGAUAUUGAAAUAUAGCAUUAUUUGUAUAUAUGUAAUUAAAAACUUUGAUAGUGUAAAUGUGUAAUACUUUGGGGGUGUGUAUGUGUGCGUGUGUAACGUUUGUUAAAUAUGUAAAUAUUAAACAGGUUAUUGGGUAACUCAUUUAUUUUUUGUGUCAGGUUUUUGUUUUAAUAUUUUAACACGAUUAUUAAAUGCGUCGUGUUUAGAUCAACUUAAAUUUGACACAACACAAAGUUGACAUGAUACGAACACGACUCGAUAACCCAUUUUGCCAACUCUAUAGCCACCCUAAUUAUUUUGAGGAGAGCUAGCAACAAUCGCCUACAUGGAUGGACAAAGAUUCAAUAUUGAGUUAAGUUUAUUCUCAGUAUUGAAUAAAUUAUUAUUAGGUAAGAGAAAUGAAAAAAAUAAAAUAAAAAUUAAAUAAUGAGCAUUACUUUAGUGCUUAGCAAAAUCACAAUGCAGCAUUAAAUCGUAACCCACAGAGAUGACCGUUUGAACUAAUUCAAGCAUAGCACGUGGCAAUGUCAAAAUCUGGCCACGACACUAUGGGUGCGUUUGAGAUUGAGAUUGGACAGUUGUAGCUUAAAAGAUACAGUACUAAAAUGUUUGGUAAACACUAACUACUGUACCUUGGAAGUUAUGUUGAUAUGAUUUUUCACUUGUAUAAUAGAAAAUCUGAUAUAUCUUUAAUAAUUUUAUCAAAAUUAUUAUUUAAAAUUUACAUUUACUAUAUAUUACUAAAUUUUAUUUUAUAUUUAUAACUUUUUUUUCACAGCAGCUAUAGCUUAAAAGUUACAGCACCUCAAUCCCAAACGCAUCCUAUGUGUUUAGCCAAUAUUUAUUCAAACAUUAGUUGAGCCAGCAAUAUCGUUGCCACAUUUUUUAUUUUAUUUUAAUUUUUAACUUAUUCUUUUAAAAAUUUGAAAAAUAUAGUAGGGCCAUCACCAUAUAAUUUAUAUAUAUGUAUAAAUAAUAUGUAUAAGAAUCUGCAUAUUAUUAUUUUUUUUUCUAACUAAAUGACCGUAUAUCAUUACACAAUCUACAUCAAAUAUUUUUUUUUGUAAUUUUUGAAAAUUUUUAUAACAAUUUUAAAAUAAUUAAAUAUAAAUAUUAUUGAAUAUCAAAAUAUUAAGAUUACAAUUAUCAUACUUUUCAAUAAUAAUGAUAAUAAUAGAGAUAUCAAUAUUUGAAUCUAACUUAAGUCUUAAUACUAUGUGUUAUUCAUUUAUUGGAUAAUAGAUUUCAUAAUUUAUAAAAUUAUUUAUUCAGCAUCUAAUGGUUGAAUAUCACAUCUGUUAAGAUUUAAAUUAGAAUUUAAAUAAAUAAAUAUCAUAUUAAUUGAAAUUUAAGUUAAAACUUAAAUAUUAAGAUACGUAGCAUUGCUGUCACCAUAGAAUGUUAGAAAAUAUAAAACGAAAGGAAAAGAAAAAUUCUUAAACUUCAGGUUUGACCGGGAGUUGACUAGUCACAAGAGACUCAACAUCCGCGUGUCCACGUUUUUGCUUAAUGUGUAAGUAAAAGGCAAUAGUAAGACUUGGACUCCCCAUUAAUCAAGAAUAAAGUGCCAUCUCAUUGUGGGAAAUAAAAUUUAUUCUUCUGUGGGUAUUUAGGUAUUUUCAUAGUAAGAUUUGGUUGAAUUUUCAAAUUUUCUUCUACUAUGUCCCUGUUAAUUUUUGUUACAAAUCAAAGAUUGGUUUCAAAAUUAUGUCAGUAUAAAAUCGCCAGGCCGGGAGGAACCACUCUGUUCUGGGAUUCAAAAAUCGCUCACUCUUUUCAGCUCUCUAUCUUCGAUUUAAAAAGAAAAACCAGCAAUACGGAUCGUAGCCGAAAGACGAAAUGACAAGUCGGUUCGGGUCCCAAUCAUCUGGAGUAACGACGAUGAAUGUGAUCAACACACCAUCCGCAGAUCUUGCCCUCACCAAUCUCGCCUACUGCUCGCCCGCGGAUCUCCUAAACUUCCGCGUGCCGAACUCCAAUCUCUUCCUUGCUUCCGUCGCCGGCGACUCCUUCGUUCUAUCACUUGCAUAUCCUUUUUUUAUUCUUUUUAUUUUCUUAAAAUGCCCAUUAAAUAUUUUAUUGUUUUAUAAAAUUUGAUCACUAUUCAAUUUGCGAUCUUUAAUUGAAGAUUACUUCUCAUCCAAGCGUAAAUAAAGGCCAAAUUGCUUUGAAUUCUGUUCAGCGUCGACAUGCUAAGGUUUCCACUGGCGAUCAUGUAUCACUCAACAGGUUAUUUUUUAUUUUUUAUUGUUGUACAUCUGUUAAUCAGUUGCUUACUUGACAGAAUUUUAGGUUUUUAUUCAAUGAAAUGAAUGUUUGUUUGGUCGUAGAUUUAUUCCUCCAGAGGAUUUUAACCUAGCAUUGCUCACUGUUGAAUUGGAGUUUGUGAAGAAAGGCUCUAAAAAUGAACAGGUUUGCACAUUUACUUCCUUUUCUGUUAUUUUAUUUGCUCACUUAUUCUUAUUAAAUUAAAAGCAUUUUUUUUUCAGGUUGAUGCUGUUCUUCUGGCUAACCAACUCCGAAAAAGAUUUAUUAAUCAGGUAUUUUUUUUUACAUUUGUUAUGAUAACUGUGAAACAAAUAGCAACUCUAUGUGCAGAGAGUUGUAUAAAUGAGAAUGGGAGUAGUGUUUAUUUGAUAUGUUUAAUUUAAAUGAUGCUAUUGGAAUUCUUUCCAGGUUAUGACAGCAGGGCAGAGGGUUGUAUUUGAGUAUCAUGGAAAUAAUUAUAUAUUUACAGUACAUGGAGCUGCAGUAGAGGGUCAAGAAAAAUCUAAUGCACUUGAAAGAGGGAUUAUUACUAAUGAAACUUAUUUUGUCUUUGAAGCAAGUAAUGACAGUGGAAUUAAGGUCUGAUUUCAAUACCUUUUAAAUCAAAAUCUGAUGUUUCAGGUAUGUUUUCAUUGACUUGGUGAAUGUUUAUUCAUUAGUUAGCUUGUGUUUUGAAAUGCAGAUUGUCAAUCAGCGAGAAGGUGCCAACAGCAAUAUCUUUAGGCAUAAGGAGUUUAAUCUUCAGUCAUUGGGUAUAGGUGGUCUAAGUGCAGAGUUUGCUGAUAUCUUUCGAAGAGCUUUUGCAUCUCGUGUUUUUCCUCCUCAUGUGACCUCUAAGUAAGAUAACUAAUUCUUCAAGUAACUUGGAUAUGGUUUAUCGAUAUCUUUGUGAUCCUAAUUGAAAGACUUUUGAUGCUCCAGAUUGGGGAUUAAGCAUGUAAAGGGCAUGCUACUUUAUGGGCCUCCUGGUACUGGCAAGACUCUUAUGGCUCGUCAAAUUGGAAAAAUGUUGAAUGGAAUGGAACCAAAGGUUUGAAUUCUAAUGAAUCUAUUAUUCUAUGUGUAUUUCUGUCUGGACUAAGGGUUGUGCAACUAUUUCUGGCAAGAAUCUUUUGACCUUUUUGUUAGACUUAUUGAUUGCUUCAUAUCUGGAAUGUAACCCUAGUGACUACUAUGUUUUGGCUGAGUAUUGGUAUUGUUCUCUACCAAGUGAUGGAAAAUAUUUUUCAUUCCUUCUUUUUGGUGAAUUUACCAGAUUGUUAAUGGUCCUGAAGUUUUGAGCAAAUUCGUUGGUGAAACUGAGAAGAACAUUAGGGACCUGUUUGCUGAUGCUGAGAAUGAUCAAAGGACUCGUGGUAAGGGAAAAAUAAACUGGCAGGUUUACUUGUAGACUUGUAUCUUGAUCAGAAACUAAUUCUCAUUAUGCCCUUUUACUUUUCAGGGGACCAAAGUGAUUUGCAUGUUAUAAUAUUUGAUGAAAUUGAUGCUAUUUGCAAGGUAUGAGAUUUGGCAACUUACUGGUCUUUCUCGUUUUUCAGAUUAAAAGUGCCAUUAAUUGUAUUUCCAACUAACUGGGUUAAUAAAAGCUUUCAUGUUUUGCGGAUUUUUAUUGGUUCUUAAUGCUUGCAAGAAAUGAUUGGUUAAUUACACGAUCUAGGCUAACUCUUCCUGUUAUGUUGAUCGUGUUACUGAUGCUCUAUGCUGUUUUAGUUUUUUCAAAUAAGAACUUGCUCCAUUGUUUAUUCUUUACAAUACGUGUCGUUUAUAGAUUCAUGUCAUUUUUGUUAUUUGGUAAAAUGUAAUCUUUACUUAUUCGCUACUGUAGUACUGUUGUUAAUUUGGGUAUGUAAUUUCUUAUAUACUGUACCUGUUCAUUAUAUUGUCUUUUUUAUUUUAAUUUGAGAUGAAUUCAUUAAAAUGGAUAAUAAUACAAGAUGUUUAAAGAAGGUUUACUCUGAGUCAAGUGGUGGGAUCCAAUUUAGUAGAAAGAACCUUUUCCUUUUCCUUUCUUUUCAUUUUUUUUUCCCAAGCUGGAGUAGAAAGAACUUCGAUUUCACAUCAAUUGAAAUUGUGAAUAGAUUCGGUGUUGGUGAUGCACUGGAUUAUUAUUGAUUUUCCUGUCAAAUUUUGUUCUCAAGAUUGAUCUCAUGUUGCUUAUCUUCUAAUGCGAUAUGCUUUGUUGCUGUAGUUGUAUUUCCACCAAUGGCUUGAAUACAUAUAUCUGUUGUUAGAGUGAAUUCAUAUUGUUUGGUUGGGCAAUUUUUGCAACAAAAAAUAAUAAUUGAUUUUUUUUUUUUGGCACUUUCAGUCCAGAGGAUCAACUAGAGACGGUACGGGAGUUCAUGAUAGCAUCGUGAACCAGCUACUUACAAAGGUUAGUGAGAGUGUUUAAAUGAUAUAUGAAUCUUGUGAAUUAAUACAAUUUUUCGUAUUCAUUUAACUUUCUGUAUUUGUGGGUCCUCUUUAACUAUAAAGGCCUAUAGAAAUGUUGUCAGUCUGACCAAUAAACUAUUUGCUUUUCAGAUAGAUGGUGUGGAAUCUCUAAAUAAUGUUUUGCUGAUUGGAAUGACUAACAGAAAGGAUAUGCUUGAUGAAGCCCUUUUGAGGUUGAUUUCUCUCUCCCCCCUCUACAGACAUGCACCCACAAACCACAAAUUUAUGGCAAUUAAAGAUCUAGUUGAUGUGUAAUUCAAAACAGAAGCCAUGUUGAUGUGUGUUGAUAUAAUUGCCAAAGUAGUUAUGAUUUACGGUAACUUGUCUGUAAUGGAAUAUGCAGUGACUUAGAUUUGUAAUAAAUGAUUAUCUAAUGAGAGCCCUCAUCUUAAAAUGAAAACCAAGCUAUAAGACAAGGAAAAACUCAAACUUCAAUGCGUUCUUUUUGUAUUUUAGAACAUUGGCAUGUUUUUUUUUGGGGGGGGGGGGUGUCUUGUAGCUUGUUCCUCACUUUAUUAAAAAAUAGGGGUUUCUAAGUAGAUAAUGACUUGAUUUAUAAUUUUAUUCUAUGGAAAUAGGAUGUACUUGAAUAGCAAUUUGAAUUUUAAAUUAUGUGUGUUUGAUAUGUUGUUUCUCAAUUCUCUGUCUGAUUAUUAAGAUAUUAUUCCAUUCCAGCAGUGUGGUAUAAACUAUUCAUUUGGUGUCCAUUUAAAAACCUUUUUCUUCUCUUAAUUUAUAGACCAGGUCGUUUGGAGGUUCAAGUUGAAAUAAGCCUUCCAGAUGAAAAUGGCCGCCUGCAGAUUCUUCAAAUUCAUACUAACAAGAUGAAAGAGAAUUCUUUUCUUGCUCCUGAUGUGAACCUUCAAGAGUUAGGUAUGUGCAUUUAUGGUGUAUGCUUGUAAAUAUUAGAAGAUCUUAUGGUAGGAGUAGGACUAGCUAUGGCUAUCAUUCAUUUUUAUUUCAGAGCACAGCAUUUUUUGUUCUUAACAUGUUUGCAAGAGCCAUAAUGGACUCCUUUUGCACUUUGGAUGAUUUUGAAUUUUAGUAUUGUUUGAUAUGAAUUGGGUUUCAAUUUUGCCUGAUUCAAUGACUUGGUUUGUUGGAUUUUUUCCACUAAAGGAAACAAAAAGGUGAUCUGAUUGACUCGUUUACACCAUUAUCAAGAUAUUACUGAUUACCUCGAAAGCUCUAGAGGUUUAUUUUUGUGUUAUUUCUUUGAAUGAAUUAGAAUAAGCGCUUUAAAAUUUUGAAACAUCUAAUAUACUAAUGUUCGAACUGCAUUAGUGGAUUUGAGAAAUCCGUGGAGAGUUUUGCUCAUUCAUUAUAUUAUGUCUCCAGCUGCUCGUACGAAGAACUAUAGUGGAGCGGAACUUGAAGGUGUUGCCAAAAGUGCAGUAUCUUUUGCUUUGAAUAGACAAUUAAGUAUGGACGAUCUUACCAAGCCAGUAGACGAAGAGAGUAUUAAAGUUACUAUGGAUGAUUUUCUUCAUGCUCUUUACGAAAUUGUUCCGGCAUUUGGAGCCUCAACUGAUGACCUUGAGCGAUCUAGGUAAUUUUUUUAUCUAUAAUAAUGAAAUUCUUCUGGAUCAGGGAGCACUUUUAGCUUAAUAUUUACUUGCAUUUGGAUCAUUUUCUGCAUGCCAGAAAUAGGUUGGGAGGUGGUAAUCUUUAUCCUGUUCGGUUCUUAUUACUGUUGAAUUGAAGUUCCCAUGCGUAAAUUACAGUUUUAGUAUACUGACAGAUCAUGUACGCCUGAAAAGUAAAUGAAAUGUAAAAAAUACAUUUCUGUUAUGGCUUGCAUUUGAUGACAAUUUUAUUCUCAUGUUCCAAGAAUAUAAAUCCAUUUUGAACUUCGUCCGUUGAUAACUUAAGUGACAGCAGGUGCUCAACUUGUGUCUUUAUAGUUAGUACUUAUUUGUUUUGCUUAUUCUUUGCAUGCACUGGAAUAGUGGACCUGGACAGAAGUGUUGUUUUUCCUCAAAAUGAUGUGUUUUAUCUUGGAUAUGAUAUAUUUUGGUGUGUGUUACUGCUUUUAUGGCAAAAAUUGUGAACUGUUUAGAGCAUUAUAAUAUGUACAUUUCUCGGAGCUGGCUUGUCUCUUAACAUUAUGAUCAAUAUUUUGACAUUCAGCUGGUUUAUUUAUUGCGUUCUCUGCAUUGCAGAAAUUGAUUUAUAGAUAUCUUGAAGUAGCUCGAGGAAUGUGCAACUGAUUCUUUCUAAUCUUGAUUUAGUUUACAAAUUAAAAAAAAAAAAUGAUUUAGUUUUUUUCCCCCCAUAGGAAGGGACCUUCAACAUUUAUAUAUUCAAUUUUUUUUCCCAAAUUCCAGCAGAACUAUGAACCUAUUAACUUUCUAUCUCGAAAUUCAUGAAUGGGUUUGCACCUUUAUUAUUUUGCAUAAAUUGUUCGUUGCGACGUUAUCUGCAGGCUUAAUGGUAUGGUGGAUUGUGGUGAUCGACAUAAGCACAUUUAUCAAAGAGCUAUGCUACUGGUGGAGCAAGUUAAAGUGAGCAAAGGAAGUCCUCUUGUCACCUGCCUUCUAGAAGGCCCUAGUGGCAGGUAUGCAUAUGGUCAAAUUUUUAGGUUGCUUUUGUUGAUUGUGGCUUAUUCUGAAUCACAGUGAUUUUGGGCAGUGGUAAAACUGCAUUGGCAGCUACUGCGGGCAUUGACAGUGAUUUUCCAUUUGUAAAGAUAGUAAGCUCCUUUCCCUUGUUUUGUAUGACAUUAGCUCUCUGUAAUUUGGAGUGUAAUGUUAUUUUUCUUUUUCUAAAUUUUAUUUUUUUAAUUGGGCAGAUCUCAGCAGAAUCAAUGAUCGGCCUUCAUGAGAGCACCAAGUGUGCACAGAUUGUCAAGGUUAGUGAAUGCCAAUUUUCUGGGUCCUGAUUACUUCUAUCAUUGUUGGGAAAAGUAUUGGUCUAGUCCGGAAACUUUUACUUCACUGAAAGAGGGUUUUCUGCUUACACUUGGAGAUAAUUAUUAUUUGUCUCUAGUGUAUUGAGAACUAUGUAUAUUUGUUGGUUUUAAUCCGUAGCUAGUACAUUUGCUGGCUCACAAAAAGCUCAAAGUUCCAUUGAAAUUGUUUUGUUUUGAAAGGUGUUUGAGGAUGCAUACAAGUCACCGUUGAGCAUCAUUAUCCUUGAUGACAUUGAGAGGUACUGCCUGCAGCUUUGAGCUAUGGCUUAGGUUUUCUCAUACAGUUUCCAUUGAUGUAUAACCUACAAUUUCUCAUACUAUUUUUGCAGGUUACUGGAGUAUGUUCCAAUCGGACCUCGUUUUUCAAAUAUAAUUUCUCAGACAAUGUUGGUCCUCCUCAAACGGCUUCCACCAAAGGUUCACUUUUUAGUUCUAUUAAUCAGUUCACUGCUCUACCAUGAUCAGGCUUAAAGAUAUCAUUUCUCAUAACAAGAUAAAAUUGCAUGGCUAAGCAGAACAUUGUUGGUAAAAUCAUCAUAUCGUGUAUCACGUUUAACUAAAGAGGGUAUAAUGUAGUAAAGAAUAUCUUUAAGUUGAUCAAUGUUUUAAGAAGGAUGAAAGUUAAAUUGUAUUAUCAUGGAGGUCCAACUUGUGAUAAGUUUAAUGAUGUUACUUAAAUUAUGAAUUUGUUUUGAGUAGUAUUUGAAAAUGCAAUUUGAAACUGCCUGAGCCUUGUACUUUUGAUAAAGUUGGUGUCAGGUGCAUGAAUGCAUUCAACUUUUUAUGGAUUUGUUGCGAUGGAAAAGACUAUCCUUGUUCAUUGUUGCUUACAGUAAUCCUUUAGAUUGUGCUGAUGACUGAGGGUAAAAUAGCAAAACAAGAGAAAGGGCGUCAUCUUUUGAAAUUUUGCACAACCUUUUGUUUGGAUAUGAUGACUUAGGCUCUGUCUAAAAUAAGCAUCUUAUGGUCCAGUAAUCAUAUAGUUUGCCAUACAGUUAAUUUUGUAGUAAAUUUUUGAAUUUAUGAUCUUUUUUUAGGGUAAAAAACUUUUGGUGAUAGGGACAACAAGCGAAGUGAGCUUCUUAGAUUCGGUUGGUAUUUGUGAUGCUUUCUCUGUCACUUACCAUGUUCCCACAUUGAAGACAGAUGAUGCAAAGAAGGUAAGCAUUUCUGUUGUCUUGCAUUUUUGCUAAUCUUAUGAGAUGGUCCUUUAACAAAAAAGGUUUAAAAAAAAAAAAAUCCCUGUCUGCAUGCUUUUCUCUAGUAAUGCUUGAUAGUUUCAAGAAGUAAUGGGAGAACAUGUUUAAGCAUUGUAUUGUAUUGAUUCGGGUAGAAUGGUUCAUGUUGCCUUUUUACAUAUGCCUGCUAUAUAUGAGGCAUGCCGGAACUUAGGCAUAGUUUAUGGCUUUGGGGCCAAUUUUCAGGUGGACCUUAAAACCUAUCUUACUUGUUUCUGUGAGAUAUAUAAAUAAUAGUAAUGAUAAUCAUCAUCAUCAGUAUGUUUAUUAAUUUUUAUUUUACUGAAAGCAUGAUUUUGCUAUUGUCAAAUUGUUACUCCAUUUAUUUUUUAUUUUUCUUUUUUGUUCAUUUAUUUUUUAUUUUUUCCUUUUUGUAGGUAAAAAGUAGAUAACAUAAGCUGAUAUCUCCAUUAUAAAACAAUAAAUAAAUGUUCUUUUUUUAUCAUAUAUAUACAAUUUUUUAAGAUGUUAUAUUUCUCUAAGGGGCCUGGGUAGUGGUUGGAUCUAACCUUCUAGGAUGAAACAACCUUCCAAUUUUUGGAAUACAUUCUUAAAGAAGAAACUGUGUGGUUUGCUUUUAUAUGGUGUUCAAAAUGGUAGUUAUGUCUUUCGAUAUGAUGUGUUGUUGGCUUAGUUUAGCUAUAAUGGGAAUGCUUUAACAGUCCUUAUUGUUAGCAAAACAAAUCCUCUUUUUGCUAAUUGAUACUCGUUGAUGCAAGUUUAUCUGGAUCCUGGAAGGAUAUUCUAAAAUUGUAGUUCAAUUCACAGUGUUGUGUUAUGAACCCUAUAUGCAAACUCUUUUUAAGAAUUUAGCUUCUGACAUCUGAGUUUAUAUUUAAUCUCAUCUCUUUCUUGCCAGGUUCUGAAACAACUCAACGUAUUUGCUGAAGAAGAUGUUGAUGCAGCUUCAGAGGCCUUAAAUGAUGUGAGUUUAAAUAUUAUUAAUCCUGUCAAUUUCCUUUUUUGUGGUUAUUUCUUUGUAAUAAUCAGUUCAUGGAUGUGUAGACUUUAAACAAAGACAGUCAAAAGCCUAACUAUCAUAUUUGCUGGGAAACUUGAUGCCUUUUAGCUUUCUAGAUUUAUUUUUCAAUUAAAUCUAAAUGGUGAUCCUCUUUUAUGAAAAAUUGUUCAUUCUUGAGGUGAACUCGUUAGAGGUAAACCUUUAAAUGGAGACUUAUUUAUUGAUCUGUUUCCACCCUUUUGUUCUAAGUCAAGUAAAAUGGACGGGAGGGUGUGAGCUUCAAGUGCUUGUUAUUUCUAGAAAACUUGGGCUUUAAAUGUGUCCUCGAUAUGCUUGGCUUUUUAUCUUCAUACACUUGUGUGUUCAAAUACCCUGCUCUCAAAGAUAUGGAAACGUCAUCGACUUCUUUUGGUUUUUUUGCUGAUCACAACAGCGUCUUCUUUGCUUUUAACAGUCACAGCUGAAGGUUUUCCGUGCUUGUACCUUGUCACUUAGUCUUUCUUCUUUUUUUUUUUUUUCCUGGUCUCAAUUAUUAUGAUCCGUUUCUUUUUUGGCUGUUUGUUAUUUGAUUAUGUAACUGAGACUGGAUGGAUUGGAGGUCAUUAUCUUUAGUAGGAACUAAUAUCUCCAUUUCCUAAGCUUAUGAUGCCAUUCCACCAAACACAACAUUGCUUUGUAUGUUUAUUAGCUUUUUGGCUUCUGGUGAACUGGGGAUACAAGAUUCUAUUGUUGAUUUCUGUCUUUCUUUUUUCUUAGAUGCCUAUCAAGAAGCUGUAUAUGUUGAUUGAGAUGGCAGCUCAAGGAGAGCAAGGUGGUGCGGCAGAGGCAAUAUACUCUGGCCGAGAAAAGAUUAAGAUCUCACACUUUUAUGAUUGCCUCCAGGAUAUGGUCCGUUACUAGUUUGAAUGCUUAUUUUUUACCUUUCACUUUAUGAUCUGUUAUUGAAAUGGUGCUUAAGCUACACUGUAUAGUUGAUUAGUGCUCCUUUUUUAUUGCAAAGGGCUGCUUGGUGUUGUGGGUUCCUUCUCUCAUUUUGUUGAUUGUUUUGUUCUGGCGUACUAUUUGUUGCCCCUCGUUGUGUAGUUACUAUUUUGAGGCAUUAGAAAUUCCAAUUGGGGUGAGAAUUUAGAAUAGGCAAAAGUUUUUAUGGUGAUAAUAUGAGAAGUUCUUCAUUUUUUGUGCAUACUGCCCAUUUCGCUUACACUUUGCUUGAGUUCAAUGCAUUUUACGUAAUCAUUCAAUUUGAAUCUUCAGUCUUGUCGAAAGAAUUACUUUGAUAUGAGAGAGAGGCAGGAGACAGAGAGAAAUGUUAUGCUCUUAUUUUGUUUGAAUAUUUUGGAUAUUACAAAAGAAUAAUAGUUGGAUUCUGCAUUUGCCAAGACUCCAGUUAUUUGAACCCCAUAAAAUUUCUUAUACCCAUUUUUACACUAAGCUUGGAAAUGUUCCUAUUUUUUUCCUUCUUCAAGCCUAAUCAGAAUCCUGUUUCAUGCAUCCAGACUAAUAUCUUCAUGGUUUGGAUUGGGACUUAAGAUUUUUAGUUAUAAAAGCAUGUAUUUAAAUGAGUAAUGAUAUUUAAUUUACACCCACUAAAUUACUCACUAAACCUAUGUUUGAAAAUAAUUUUUAAUGAUUAAAAUACUCCUAAAUCAAAUUACAAUUAUGAACACUAAAAUAUAGUAAAAGGAGAAGAAAAAUUGCUCUUUGAACUUAUCUUUACGUUCAACAUAUUUUUGUUAAACCCUAAUCAAUUGCAAAGUCCUAAUCGUCUAGAGGUGUGAUUCUUCUAAAUCAUUUAUACUAUCCAGUGUCAAAAAACUUCCUCUAAUAUUGUCUAUACUACACAGUACAGAAAAACCUCUUCUAAUGUUGUCUGUAUUAUACAGUACAGAAAAAAGUCCUCUAAUGUUGUCUAAGAGCCUUUAACCUUCUAUUAUUUAACCUCUAAUGUUGCCUUAAGAGCCUUUUGCCUUCUACUCUUUUUAUUUCUGUGAAGUAAUUGACUGUAAUUGAAAAGCCUUAAUCUUUUAUUUGUUGGGUGAGUGGUUCUUUUCUUUCAGGUGAAUGGGUCAUCUCUCAUUUGACCAUGGCAUCACCAACAUGAGUCUGUGUUGGGUAUGAGCUGUUAGAUAUAUACUUUGGAUUUUGAAUAACUACAUAUAAAACAUUCAUUAAGGGCCUAUCAAUCAAUUUAAUGGCUUUAAUGAGUAAAAAUACUAUUAUUAUAAAAAAUUGAGUUUAAUAAGGGUGUAUCGGGUAUUUUAGUGAAUUUAUUGAGUAAAAUUUAAAAUUUCAAAAUUUGAGAGUAGAUUUAUUUAGCAAGUUCAGCGAGUAAUUUAGUAAAUUCAAAUAGUCUUAUCCAUUGUAAUUUAUAUUAUUAGAUUUUAUUUAUUCCCAUAAGUACCCUUAUUAAAAUAAUAAAGAUAUUUUUAGUUUCUAAUCAUUUUUCAUUAAGGAUGAUGAUUAUGAAAAUAAUAGGAUUAAUUAAAAAAUGAAGCAGAUGGGACCAUGGCAUCACCAACAUGAGUCUGUGUUGGGUAUGAGCUGUUAGAUAUAUACUUUGGAUUUUGAAUAACUACAUAUAAAACAUUCAUUAAGGGCCUAUCAAUCAAUUUAAUGGCUUUAAUGAGUAAAAAUACUAUUAUUAUAAAAAAUUGAGUUUAAUAAGGGUGUAUCGGGUAUUUUAGUGAAUUUAUUGAGUAAAAUUUAAAAUUUCAAAAUUUGAGAGUAGAUUUAUUUAGCAAGUUCAGCGAGUAAUUUAGUAAAUUCAAAUAGUCUUAUCCAUUGUAAUUUAUAUUAUUAGAUUUUAUUUAUUCCCAUAAGUACCCUUAUUAAAAUAAUAAAGAUAUUUUUAGUUUCUAAUCAUUUUUCAUUAAGGAUGAUGAUUAUGAAAAUAAUAGGAUUAAUUAAAAAAUGAAGCAGAUGGGAUCAAUUAUCGAGCUCCAACAUUUUCAUGUUGUUUUGUCAUUUCCCCCAUUUCUGUUUGUCAAUUCAAAUAGUUUUAUCCCUUCUAAUUUAUAUUAUUAGAUUUUAUUUAUUCCCAUAAGUACCCUUAUUAAAAUAAUAAAAAUAUUUUUAGUUUCUAAUCAUUUUUCAUUAAGGAUGAUGAUUAUGAAAAUAAUAGGAUUAAUUAAAAAAUGAAGCAAAAGGGAUCAAUUAUCGAGCUCCAACACUUUCACGCUGUUUUGUCAUUUCCCCCAUUUCUGUUUGUCAAUUAUUGGAUUUGGGAUGUCACCCUCUAGUACUUACUGUAGAACAAUGUAGAUUUCUACAUGAAGACAUUUUUAUUCUCACUAAUAUUUAAGGAGACAUUUAUCUCACCCUCUAUUACGAGAGGUUAUCAGCCUGCCCAGUUAUCAAAAAAUAUGGGAGUCCUUACUGAAGCAUACACAUUCAUUUCAAUUCAGAUCCAUUCAAGCCGAAACAAUAAUGCCAUUGUCAGAGAAAACAAUUCGAUUUAACCUACCUUACAAGGCAUUUUUGAAAUUAAUGCUUUAUUUCAUUCAAUGUGAGAUAUCAAAUACAGCAUAUAUACGUAAUCCUGUAUAAGUUAAUUACAAAUUGCAACUGAAAUCACUAAAUAAUUUAUAAGAAUGGCUAAUAUACAAACAUGCUAAUACCAGCAAUGAUAUAUUUAGAAUCAUUUAUGCAUUUCUUACGCAAACGUUCACAUCUCAAUGUCUUCUAAAUCCGGAAGAGGAAAUCGAAGGAUUGCAGCAAUGCCAGUCAAUUGUCCUAGUUCUGUAUUUGAUAGAAAAACAAGGGUUAGGAGGACUCCAAAUGAUAUAAAUACAGGUUGAUUUCUCUAAUCCCCAAUGAAGUUUGCCUGAAAAUUGCUUGGUAUCAUUAGUUGCAAUUACUAGUCACAAAAUACCCAUUCCAUUGUGUACCAACUGUUAGUUUUAGUAUCACAAGAGAUUAAACAAUUUGAGUUGCAGAUCGAGUACGCCAAUUAAUGGGGUUACUAAAAAUUGAAACUCAUGAUGCUGUGUGUGUUUUAGAAAAAGAGCAUGUAUGGUUAGUGAAAUUAUCCUGAAUGUAAACUAGAGUUCCGAAAAAGAUAAAAGGGGAAAAAAGUAGCAAAACUGGAAAGAGAGAGAGCAUAGAAAUAAAAACUCACGUUCUCCUGAGACAUGCAUAGAUGAAAAUAUAUGAGCAGUGCCUCCUGAAUCCUUAACCGAGGUGACCAAAUUAACAUACUUCUGCCUUGUAGUGAUAUCAGAAUUCCUGAAAUCCAAUUUGAUAAGAGAAAAUGCUUCACAUUAAGGUUAAAAAAUUUUGUGCUUUUGACCAUGAUGCAUGCACAGAAAAUUUAGAGAUAUCUAAGCAAACAAUUAUCGAUCAAGAUGAUAAAAUAAAACAACUAAAUAUUAGGGAACUUCCACCAACAAACACAAACCAGCCUUGUCAAGAGUUCUGAGAAAACAAAAAAUGAGCUCAAGUAACAAAAAAUGAGCUCAAGUGUCUCCUUUAAAUUUUGUCACGUGCUCGUGUGAAUGAAGAAAGUUAGCAUUAAUUAGCAUGAAUAUACACUAGAACGUGCAACUCUGAUAAUUGAAUGCGUGUAAUUAAUUAUUUGAACAUAAGAAUAAUUUUAGUGAUACUACUGGAAUUCAUAAAAUGAAUGAAUAUCUCAAGGCAAGACUUGAAACUCUCAAUUUGUCAUUCCCAAGAUUUUUUACCAUGCAUGAUGAAGACCAAACUCCUUCCCUGUCCAUAUAAUCAGAAUUUGAACUGCAGACCUCUAGUACCACCUAAGCAUAACCAAUUCAAUCAACUAGUAACCAUUCUCAUUCCCUAGACUUACAAUUGGAUUACACAAGAAUAUAUUUUAUCAUUUGAUAGCUCAUAAAAUUCCAGGGGCAUGCACGGAAAGUUUGAACUGAGGACUAGUACUAGAUGUUAAAAUAAUUUGAAUUUAGGAAACCCGGGUGAUAUUACAUUACAUAUCAGUAGGUUGCCCCAUCGGGAUUUGAACCUCUGGGUUAAAAACCAUGGAUCAUAUACAUCUUGGGAUUGAUUAUAUAAGAAUAUUCUUAUUUUUGUACCUAUUGAAGUGUAAUCUAUUUAUCCCACAUAAAUUCUUACUGCUGGCGAAUCAACACACUAUAAAGUAUAAAUUGUUAAAUUUAGGAAUGAUGACACUUAUGAGGUCUGACUGUCGGUAGUCCCUACAACACUAAGCUGUGAUUCCGUAAAACAAGGUCCAACGCCAGCACAUUGGAUGGUCAAAGAUAAUCAAGUCAAUAGCAAGAGAUCGAGUCUACAAUUUAACUUUAUAAGAUUCUGCAACAUCUCAAGCAAAGAACUGAAGUUAAAAGGAAAUUGAAAGUGAUGGUAAAACAUCCACAUAAACAAAGCGAACAUAUUAGCCAGCACAUCCAGAUAAUUAUGACUUACUGCAUACCAACCUGAAAAGAUCAUCUGUGAUUAGAAGUGUUUGAACAGCCAUUCGCUCAUGGGCAACUUCCACAUGCUUUGGUCCAUAACAUGCACGUGUAGGAUCCUAUAAAGCACAGAAAAUAGUUCAUUUACAGAGACAUCAACAAUGGGAACAGAAAAGAACAAUUGACGAGUUAAAAGGAGAAUGAAACAAACAAUAAGUUUUGACAAGAUAACUUUUGUUAAAGUUAUUGUACACCAAUAUUAUUCCCAAUAAUAUCAUUCACAUUGAUACCCAGUGUCUUGGACUGAGGGCAUGAACCCAGUUGUCAGGCAGGGUCUUUAGAUUUCAGCAUUUUGAAUGAAGAGGUGCUAUAAUCAGAGAAUUGAACUUACUUCACGAAGUCAAAGCUUAAAAAGCAUCCAUCACUUAUGAAUAGGAUAUAAUUAAUCAAAUUCCUGUGGCUUUUAGUUUUAGUGCUCAGUUAACUGCAACAUUCUCACAGGCCGGGCAUUUGAAGAAUCCAAUAUUUCUCCAUCAGUUUGUGAUGUGGCUUCUCAACACACACACGCACACAGAAAAAAAAAAUUCACAGAUCUCAGAGAUAGAAUCUGACAUUUGUUAGCAUGUUGAAGAAGUCCUUGAGAGCUUGGACCUGGACAAAAAUGAGACGACAGAAAAUUAUUAUUGAAAGGUACACAAUAAGUUUGAUCAUUGACAGGACAAUAUGGGAUUAAAGAUUAAAAAUAUGAAUUUCUUAGCAAGAGAAAAAAAGUACAUUUCAGCACUAAACUUUAAACAAUUGCCAACACCACAUGGGAUAGUACAAUCGAUGUUCUAGAGCAAAUUAAAUUUGAGACAAUUUCAAAUCUUUUUUUUUUCCUUUCUUUUUCAAUUUUUAUAAACGAAAAGGAGAAAGAUUGAACAGUUGAAACAAUUCUAAAUGUUAGGCCAAUUUGAUUUCUUUCAGCCAUUCUUACCUCUUGUGCUGCUUUGGUGUCUUUGAUCAUGUUCAUUACAUUUGGUGCAUCCAAUACCUCUCUCAAACUAUGCCUGUGUACCAAAGUUUAAUGUCAAAUAAAGAUAUGAAGCACAUGGUCACAUAAGUUUGAAAAGAGCGUAACAUCAAAAUGAACAGUAAGAAAUCACAUCAACAUGUUUGUGCUUCACAAAAAAAGUUUGCCACACUCCUCCCACCCCAAAAACCCUCAUUUAUUUAAAUUUAAGCAUAGCUUACUGGUAAUUAAAGCCCCACCCAUGUGUUCAGACUCUAAAACUUUUUGUGCCACCUUAACUAUCGAAUUCACAGGGUAAGAUAAAUGCUAAUAUUGGACAGAAGCAUUAUGUAAGAACAGCACUGUUUUAUGAUAUUUGCUCGACAGAAAUCUAUAUAUAGAUGGAUUAUGAUUCUGAGAUCCAGGAAAAAUAAAUUGAGUGAUUGUUAUCUUUUUUGUAACUUUGAAAGUAUCGAUAGAGACUAUCGGGGAACAGCAGUUCUGAAUCAAUUUUUUACUAAUAGGUUUCAUAUGCCACAUUCGAAAUGCAUGCCUUUAACUUUUUCUCAGUAUGUCAUCAAGGAAAAAAUCUCCAUGCCGAAUAUGUUGAAGAAAAGAGAAAUAACAGGUGAAGCUCUGUACGUUGACACAUAAUUUUAUUUUUUAUUUUUCAUUUUAAAAUAGAUUGAAUUGAUAUAAAUGAGAAGAAACAGAAAAAUCUAGCCUAUGUGAAAUUUAAAUACGUAUGAGAAACACAACCAUAAAAUGGAAUACCACACACAUAAAUUAUAGUGAUAAUAGCUCUUAAGGGUGCCAAAUACAAAUGAAAAUCCUUCAUCACUGUAAUUACUAAAACUAAGCUAAUGUGACCAAACAUUUGAGAAAGAAAUGUUGACACAGUAGCAGAUCGGUUUUACAUCUUUAAGAUAAUUAUUUCUAUCUUAAAACUUAUGCUUUGAUACCUAGGGAAAGAUGUUUAAACAACAUAUUAACCAUACUUUAAGAUAAGAACCAUACUUGUAUCCAGAACUUGUAUGGACAAGAAUUAUGCGUGACUUGUUCUCAAUAAUUGGUCUCAACUGCCUUCUUUCUGCCUCUAAUAAUAGGUGACGAUGAAACUGAUCCUGAAUCACAAACAUGAACAGAACACCAAAUAUGAACAAUUCAAUUAUUCACUGUUGAGUUAUAGAUUAUAAUUAUCAUUAGAAAACUAAUAAGAAAACUAACAAGUAGUCUUUCAAAUGAAAUUCAGGCUUCUAAAAACGAAAAAUAAAACAAAGACAUUAAUCACAGACCUUUGUGAAACCAGGACUUGCAAUCACAGCACACCGAACCACAUUGAAAUCAACAUGUUUCAGGAAAGCCUGAGACAUAUUAGAAACUUAUUAGAAGGCACAAAAAUCCAAUUUUAGCAUUCAAAUACAAUGUGCAGAGAUAUUCAGGAGUAGGAAAUAAAACUUGAUAUUACUAUUCAACUAAUUCUUACCUGUAGAACAUUCUCAAAGAACUUAUUCAAAGCCUGUAAACACGAUUGGUUUAAACAUAAAUUAGUAAGGUCUAAGAACAACCAUGUUCUCACUGACUACCAUCAUAUAUAUCCAUCUAAACACAUACCGACUCAUAACCAGCAAUUGCAGGACCAUGCUUGCGAGGAAUUGAAGUUUCUAUUCGUGAACGUGUGAUCGUCAUGCUGUUUUUAUUAGCCAUGUGAACAAGAGGAGGUUAAAUUGUCAAAUAGAUCAGUUUAUCGACCAAGAAGAGAAAAAAGCUCGGAGGUGUUAGGGGUGCUCAGGGUGCUGUGUGGUUGGGAGAAUCAGAGAAAAAUCACAGCACAUGGUAUGUGAUACUAUAAUAAAUGCAUCUGUAAAUAUGUACAAGUCAUAAAGACUUUUCACUAUAAUUAAAAUUGAAAAAAAAGAACCGUCAUUUUCAACUUUAUCUCAACAUCAUUUGAGUCUACAAACACCAACCAUCAGAUUCCAGUGGGGCUACAUUUCAUAAUCUCAAAUUAGAAACAAUCCAUAUUUUAGGUCCGCAAUUCGUGUUAAAAUCAAGAUAACUGAAGAAGAUCAAACAUUCAGAUUGGUGUACUAAAGAUUUAAGUGAAUUAAGGAAGAAGCAGCUGCAUAAAAAAGCUUGAUAAACAAAAACAUGGUAACAAUCUGAAAGAAGCCAAAGUGAUUAUGAGAAAAUAGCUGAUUCUCACACCAAGCAAAAGUUUUCAUUAGAAUACGGUCCUGUUUAACAACACCCAGGCAGCAAAAUUUUAAAAAGCCAAAAGCUUGUAUCAAUCCAUUAUCCAUUAUUUCUAAUUACAACUCUUACUCCAAGCAUAUAAGAUUCAAAAUUAAGAUGUGUACAUAUCCUCCAACACUUGAAAUCACACGAAUUCCUCCAUAUGGAUAUCUGAAUCAAUAAAGAAAUAGCUUCAGAUGCUAAUCUUUGAGACAUCAAGUUUGAAAAAACAAUUUCUGGGGUUAGUAAGUAAUUUAGCAAUUAUUAAGUCUUGGGAUUUUAAGGAUUGAUUAAUGUUGUUUAAGGAACUUCAUUAUGCAUGAAUCGGAUAGGAUUUAUGUGUUAUGCUCUAGCAGGAUUUUCUUUCAUGUUGUAGUUUGGUUUACUUACUUUUGAAUCAAAGCUUAUGCAGUCAGAAUUAUUUGGUGCCAGUGAUUUUAUAUUUGUAUCCAAAUAACUUCAGUGGGGACCAAACGUUUAACCUGAUAUUGAUCCUCAUAGCUAACAAAUGCUACGUACAGAAAUUUAGCAAUUAAAAGAAUAUAUUAAGUCUCUAUUUUGUGAAAGUUUUGUGCCUUGACCAAAUACCGUAACAAACAGUCCACGCAGAUAUUCCGAAUACAAUUCACAAAACAAUAUAGAUUUACAAAUUAAAUUAAAAUAUGACCAGAUUUUAAUUGCAGCAAUCAACUUAUAGCACAAGCAUGGAUAUUUAACAUUGAAUCAUGUCCCAACAGGUUACUCAUACCUUCUACCAACAAGGAGGAUAUGUGCUAAACCUUCUUGCAUUAAAACAACAGCGAGAUCUGCACUGGCAGUUGGAUCUGAAAUUGAGAGCACAAAGAGUACAUAAAAUAGUGGUAUUAAACGAAAAAAAUUCAACAAUAAAACCCAUACAUAUUCCAAUCAACUGAUAGAGGAUUUUACCAAGAUCAAAAUCAAACACUAUUGUACAUAAUUUUGUGGCCAGACCUGGCUCAAGCCAACAUAGACUUUUUAUGCUCAAGUUACUGUGAAUUAUAAAUUUAAAUUAAAUGGGAUAGAACUUCCAACCUUCCUUCUAUUUCGAUCUAAUGAUUUUUUUUAAUAAUAAUAAUCCUUCACAAAAUGUUUAGUUGGUAAUACCAAAUGUCGCCUUUUAACUUUCAGUUUUAGUUACUUUUUUUAUGCCAACUCAUAACGUUGCAAACCCCUGGAUCCAUAUAAAAGGACAGUUGCAAGUAGAAAAAUAAUAUAGUCCCAAAAAAAUACAGAAAAAUUUCAAGUACAUAAGCCUGUGCUCUGCUUUUGCAAAGUAGUUCACAGAAUGAUAGCUUUUUUUAUCAAUUUUUUUGAUAGGAAAUAACCAAAUGUCUGCAGGAAAAGUGAAAAAGAGAUCCAGGCGUCUAGUGGACCAUUUAGAGGGAUGAGACACUAUACAACUUUUGCCGUAUAAAUCUGAAACUGACAUCAAAUUGUAAGGAGGAACUCAUUACCAGUAACAAAAAUGUUCUACCAGCCUAGACUAAUUCAUAAUCCCAACCCGGCCAAGUAGAAUUUUUAAAAUCUUUAAGUUCCUUUAGAACAGACGCACAAAGAGGUGCAAAUAAAUUAAAAUGCUUCUAGCUUGGAAUCUUCAAGAUAGUUAAGAGACUUAUAAAGCAUACCUGCUGCCUGAUGAAGUGUAUCUAAGGCCAAUGAGUCCCAGAGAUCCUAAAAUUAAAGACAAAAUACAUACCAAACAUUAAAAAAAUAAAGGGAACAAAAACCAGAAUAUGAGUAAACAUGCAAUGUCUAAGAGUAGAAGUGAUAAAGUAAGCAUUAAAUUAAUAACAUAUUUAUAAUGUUUGGACCGAGGAAAGAGAAAUUUUAGGGAUUUUGACUAGAAAUUUUAGCUCCUAGCAACUAGAGAUAACAAAUUAGGUGCAUUAAAAACUGCACCUAAUUAACAUAUAUUCUCUUCAAUUUCACAUGGACUCAGGUAAGAGUGUAGUUACAGUAGGGGCCUAGAAAUCCAGUUCAUCCAAGCCUCAGAAAAAAAAAAUACCUGAGGACUUGACCAAAGAGAACCACAAUCCGCCUCGGUCUGAACAUGUGGUUGACAAACAAACCCAGGGGCAAAGCAAAGCCAGGGGGAAGGGGCAGCCGGAAAGGAUAGUUCCGGAGAUGCUAAAAAAGAAAAGAAGAAACAGGAGCGUGGGCUGGAAUAUGCUGUUUUAAUGACCUUUUAAAUGGCUUUAGAGUUCCUUUGAACUGUCAUAUUUCAGUCUCAGUCUGAUAUUGGUAGUUGGUCUAAGUUUGUUGGAAGCUAGUUUCUAACAAGAUUGAAACUUGUGUAUACAUUUCACACCUUUAUCUAUUUGGGCACAGUUCUUUCAAAUUUUAUCUGGAAGUAAAAGCUUCAGUUUUGACUGCCAUGGGGAUCAAUUAUUUAGUGACUACUUACCCUGCUUCUUCUAAACUGAUCUCUUUCUCAAUAAGUCCAGUCUCCCUCUUGAUUGUUCUCUCACUGUCUCUCCAACCACCAAUUGUUUCUUCUAUUGACGAUCUUCACAAUGCUCAGUUGCGCAAAGACUUGCUGUAACUGAUGUUUGUUUAUCACCUCAACUCAAAUAGUACUUGUACCCCGUCAUCAUGGGUGGUACUCUGGGGAAAACUGACCAAUCUGAGCCAUAGUUUUUAGAAAGAUCUCUCCAUGGGGAAGGUAGAAUUUCAGCUCCCUACUAAUUUCACUCAUCUCUUCAAAGUGACCAGAGUCUAUGUUACAGAAGUUCUGUUAAUUUGGAAAGUCUAGUCCUGCUACCUAGGACAACAAACGGCCUACCGCAACCACAAACCCCUCGACAUAUUGGUUCAUUAACCACAAACUAAAUGCUGGUUCUCGAAUCACUUAAUGAAUCAUUGCUGGCCAAUCCCCUCUCCCCACCACAAAACUUAUAUAUUAUUAUUCAUUAACCACUAACUGAAUGCAGAUCCUGAAUCAAUAAAAGCAUCAUUGCUGCUAAUAAAUUCUCAACUACUUUUCAAGUAAAUAUACAACACGAUAGAUAUUUAACAGACUUGCAAGUAAUAUUCAAAAAGAGGAAAAGGUAACUUAACCUAUCACUAGAUUCAGCAAGUAAACAGAAUCUGCACCACGAAUAUAGCGUGUGCAAAGUGGCCAGAAAAAGGACAAAAGUAUUACAAGUAUACACAAGUCAGUAAAGGCACAUACCUUUCUCAACACAAAUGCUCGAUGCAGCUCAAUCUCCAAAGUAUGGAAAGCUCCAAUCUGAAACAAUAUAGAAGAGUAAGAGCAGAAAUAGUCAUACAUUUAUAAGAUCGAAGCUCAACGUAAUACAUUUCUUACUUUAACAUGUUCAUUUUCUAGGAUAUUCUUUCCACGUAUACGCAAUACAGACCCUUCUUUGUCAUAAUCCACCACCUGAGAAACAAAAAAUGUCAUAAAUAUUUCAAAUUAGUAAAUAUUUCCUCUUCAUGUUAUAUUCUAGUGCUGACCUUGAUACAAUCAUGUUGCACUUAGGAGCACAUUUAACAACCUUGAAGUGAUUUACCAUAAUCAAAAUCAAAAACAAUUUUUUUUCUUAUUUUAUAAUGUUCAGCUAGACUAGAGAUAAGAGAGAGCUUUCUGAAACAAAACAAGCAUAUAAAUUGUCCUUCCAAAGAAGCAAUUGAUACACACUUUAAUAGAAACAACAAUUUCGGAAUUAAAAAGGCACUUGAAGUGCUUUCCAAAACAGCAUUUCUUAUCAGAUAAUUUGGCAAAAAACUUCACCUUAACUCAAAAUUCCAAUAUUUAGUAAGUAUUAUGAGUUCAAUAAGCACAAAAAGAAAACAGAGAGAAAAAAAAAAAAAAUUAAAAACAAAUACACCUCAACUUUGAUUUCCAACUUAAGCUUGACACGCUCUGCAUCUCUUGAACCAGAUGCCAUCUGUCUCAGAACUUUCCUAUAGUUUAAUACAGGAAAUAAACUAUUAAAUUUAUGCGUUGAAAAUAGUAAAAGCAAAUAAAGAGCGGAGGACUUGAUGGAGCUACCUGACAGUGACUGCCAUGACGGAAUCUCCAGGAGCAAUGAGAUUGUAAGCAAACCAAAGAUCAUCCGAAUCAACCGGCUCCAUCUGACAAUAAUGGAAAAAAAUUUAUAAAUAAAUCAAUAGCCAAAUUAAAUUAAAUUGCGUGAUCUUAAAGAAUGAAAGUGAAAUUGAAAUUGACAUUGUAUUCUACCUUGACGCUACCAGGCCCAUUCUCUACUAAGUUUCUGCGUAAGAUCUUCAUGCUUUGCCUUUUUGUUUACUUUGUCUAUCAGCCUGCUCUUUAUUUUUUUUGUUAUUUUAUAUUUCUAGUUUGCGAGCGAAAGAAGACGAUGAACCAGGGAAGUGAGCUGAAGCUGAUGCUUCUUUGUAGUCGAUUUUGCGGGACUGUCAUGGGCUGGGCCUAGGUUGGCCUUAAUCAAGUAAACCUGAGCUUAGGCCCAGGCCUCUUACUGUCAUACUUUGAUGCAAUAAUUCCUAUCACUGGCCAUUCGAAACUGUUUGCCUAUAAAUGUGAGAAGGGUCAUAAUCAGGAUGUGCUUCUUUUUUAAUACAUUGUACUGUAAGGUGGUAGACCCUAAUACUCUUGACCAAUUGCAAAAGAAACUUGUAAUCACUUUAUGCUUACAGCAGCAGUACUUCCCACCUAGCUUUUUUGACAUAAUGAUCCAUUUAACAAUCCACUUAGUUGAACAAGUUAAGUUAUGUGGGCCUGUUUAUCUUCGAUGGAUGUAUCCUUUUGAGAGAGAAAUAAAAACUCUUAAGGAUUAUGUUCGUAAUCGCUACCGCCCUGAGGGUUGUAUUGUAGAAAGUUAUAUUGCAGAAUAAGCACUUGCAUUUUGUGCUGAGUACCUCUCAAAUUGUGAUGUUAUUGGGUUACUUACUGGUUGUCCAAUUGAUUUAUCUGUUGAAAGACCUUUGGGAGGUGCAAACAUAAAGGUGGUUGAUGAUCCUUUGUUGGCACAAGCACACUGGUGUGCUCUAAUGAUCACCCCUGAAAUCCAAAUAUAUAUCUAGUAAGUUGUUAAUUUUUCCAAAAAAAUAUUACUGUUGUAUUAUAAGAUUACUAUACUAGUUUUUAAAUCUUAAUAUGGUCUCACUGUAGGGAGCAUAUGCAUUAUUUGGUAUCAAGAAACCCCUAUAAGGCAAAAAAAAAAAAUUGUGGUUGCAAAAUGAACACAUACGUACAUUUUCUAGUUGGUUACAAGAAAAUGUCAGAAUUACUUAACUAAAUACAAUAUAGGAUAUAAACUUUAACAAAAUUUUUCUACAUGUUACUAAUUACUGUACUUGUUAAUUUAAAUUAUAGGUAGCACAUGAUAAAGCAAAUAAUGUGCUGAUUGACGAAAUAAUGUGGUGGUUGGCAAACAAACCACGCUCAAGCGUGGUGACCUUCUCUGGCUACGAGAUCAAUGGCUUCAAUUUUACAACGAGGGACCGGGACAAUAAUCGUGUGACCCAAAAUAGUGGUGUUAGGGUUGUCGCUAACACUCUACAAAUUUCAAGUUCAAAAGAUAAAAGUCCUCAUUCUGGAGACAUGACGUUUUAUGGAGUCAUUGAUGAGAUUUGGCAGCUUGAUUAUCUAAUGGUUAAAAAAAUAUUUUUCAAGUGUGAUUGGGUAGAUGAUAGAGGGGUUUGCACUGACAAUUUAGGUUUCACUGUAGUUGAUUUAAAUCGGAUUGGCUAUAAAUCUGAUUGCUUUAUUCUAGCUUGUCAUGCAAAGCAAGUAUUUUAUGUAAAGGACCAGCUAGAUAAUAAUAAAUCAAUAGUUUGUUCAGUGACUGACAAAGCUUAUAAGUUAAAUGGGGAAAUAUGUGAAGACGUUGAUGUAUUUUCUCCAUUAUCUAAUAAACUUCCAGUAUGUGAGUUGGAUGAGAAAGAUGACAAAGGAAUUUAUGACAGAAAAGAUUGUGAUGUUAUUCCAAUAGAUAUUGAUUUAGAAAAUCAGUGAAUGCAUUAUUGUAGUUAGUUUCCAGCACCAAUUUUCAUAGUUUUCUAGUAAGUGGUUUAUUUAUUUCAUUAUAUGUUAUUGCUCUUGUAUUAACUUAUUAAUCUAAAUGAUGUACUCAUUUAUUUUAAUCAUUUUCAGGAUUGUAGGAGAUGGCUGAAGAUGCUGAAUUCACUCUUCCGGAGCUCGAUGGAAGACCAAGGAGAAGAAAACAAACAAAAAAGAAAGGUUUGCAAAAACAAUAAGUUAGUCAUGAAGCUGUAAUUGAGUACAAUUCUUAUGGUGUUCCAGUUGGAAAGGGAAAAAAUGAUCUUAGGAGUUACAUUGGAGUCAUUGUACGUGAAACUAUUUCAAUUUUACUUGAUGAUUGGAGGCGUGUGCCACUAGAGAUGAAGGAAACUUUAUGGUUUCAUUUUCAGGUUUUGUUUACUUGUUUAAUAGUAUGUUUAAAGAUUUUAUAUAACUUCUAGAUUUGUUUAAAGCUGUUUCUAAUCCAUGUUAUUGGUUUACAGAAAAAAUUCAAAUUGAGCUUGAAAUGCAAAAGCCAAGUGUUAAAGUGGAUGGGGGUUGCAUCAAGAAACUUUCGAAUUGAACUGGCAACUGAAUUCGUUCUACCUAACAAGAACGAUCGAAAGUCACUAAGGUUGCCUCCUAUUGAAUAUCCGAGCAUUAAAAAGAAAGAUUGGAAAUUUUUUGUUGACAAAGUUUUGUCUGAACAAUUUUAAGUGUGUUGUUUGUUAAUAUUACCUUAUUUAUUUAUUGCUAGUUACUAAUAAUCAGUGGUAACCUUUUGUUCUUCAUAUAAACUGUUUGUACAGGAAAAAAGUAAGAAGGAAAAAGACAAAAGAGCAAAGAAUGUCUACUACAACCAUUGCUUUGGUAGCACAAGAUAUGGUGGCAUGUUGUAUAGAAAAAGUAUGUGUAGUAAAUAAUCUAAUUAUAGUAACAUAAGUAAUCUAAUACAUAUAAUAUAGUAGAAUCAAUUAUUUAUGUUUUAUGUUACCUUGUAAUAGAAAAAUGAGAGUGGAGUUUCUGAGCGAGAGAUUGACUGCAGUGAAGCUUGGUUAAUGGCACGAGCAGACCGAGAUGGCAAAUAUGCUUCUGAUGUGACGCCAAUUGCUGAGAAAAUAGUAAGUCACUUGUAUACUAAAUUCUUAUGAAUUUUCUUUAUAAUGUGUAUGUGUGUGGGUAGAUAUUUACGUACAUAUAUAAUGCUUUUUGUAAUAAUUGUAUGGUACUCAGUAAUACUUUAUCAGAACUUAUUUCUUCGUAUAUAAAAAGGUUAAAACUUGUGUGCAUGUGUAAUGAAAGAGAUGUCCAGGAGAUCAAGCGCUUGUGUGAGGUGUUGUCUUGUAAUAUUUUAUGUAGUUUCAAUUUGAACUGUAUAUGGACUUGCUCUGUGUUGAAGAUUGAAGAAUGAUAUUAGUUUAGUUUAGCUGAUGUCUUGUACUCGUAAUUGCAUAUUUACAAUAUUUGUUUUUUGUAGAAUGAGUUGAAGAGUCAAGUUGAACAAGGAAUAUUCCAAUCAUAAGGGUCACAUGACAUUCUAGGUGAAGCUCUUCAGAAGCAGCCAAAUAGAAGCAUGGUGCAAGGAGUGGGGCAAUUCGUCACCCCAUCUAUGUACUUUCAUGUCCCUGAUGCCAUUGAGUUAGCAAGAGAAAAAAAGAUGUAUAAGUAUCAAGAGAGUUUCCAAUUCAUGUCUGCUCAAUUAGAACGCAUGAAUGCAAGGUUAAAUGCGUACAACAAUAUUGAAGUUGAAAGUUCUAACUUUCCUAAGCCUAAAACUUCCACUGGUGUUCAGAUUGACAAUGAUCAACAAUCCCCUGAAAACUCUUGGAAAAAGAAAGGUAUAUGGCCUGUUACAUGUCAUUAUUUUAUUUCUAUUUGUAUAUGCAUGUAUUACUACUAAUGGUAUGUAUUUUGAUUAUUGCAUAGGCUGAUUUCCCAUCGGGUGAGUCGACUCCAAAAUCUAUGAAGAGUAAAAUGAAGGACACUCCCACAACAAUUUCCCAAGCAACUCCUCAACAAACCCUCGAAAAAGUAGAGUGUGAAAUUACUUCAAAGCCCACACCGAGAAGAUCUCCUAGACUAACUCCUAAAGUACUAGAUGUGUAGUUCUCCUGUCAUGACAAAGUACCUAAUAAAGAACCACUGGUCAUCAGACCAGCAGAAGUACCCAAAAAAAAAAACCACUAGUCAUCAGACCAGCAGAAGUACCCAAAAAAGAACCACGGGUCAUCAGACCAGCAGCAAAAGACCUCAAGGUACGUGUGAAGAAUACACAGGCAGCAGCACGAUCAAGAAAGAAUGAUAAAAGUGAAUAUAUGAACAUGUUUACCAUGUUCAUCGAGAAUUCUUUACCUCAGUUGAUCAGAAUUCGGCAUGACACAACAACCUUUGGUGAAAUUUAGGAAACACACUUGGACAAAAUGAUUUGUACUAAAAUCAUCGAGUUUAAAGAGGUCUCAAACUGCAUCAUUAACAUAUGGAUCAAGUACGGUAAAUCAUAGCUUAUGUUUUAGUAAACUUGGAGCUAUUAUUUUGUUUCCUUUAUUCAAACUUACUUCGUUAUAUAUGUUUGUUUCCUCUUAGACACUUGUAUGAGGAGAUGGAGAGCAAUGGAAGUACUAAGCCGGUUUAGUUUGGGCUUUUUGAGAAGCUAUACCCAAGGGUCAGCUUCAAAGACAUGACUCAAUACAUUUCAAAACUUUUAGGCUUGACAGAAUUGGGACAAGUCAUCGUAUUCCCGUAUAACCCUGGGUAUAACCUUUUUCAUUUGCUAGCCAUAUUCUUUAUUUAGUAGAUUAAUCAUGAAGUUAAAAGUUUUAUUUGUAAUUUAUGUGUGAGAACAAUUUUUACUUUGUUUAGUGGCCACUGGGUGUUAUUGGCAAUUGAUAUGGUGAGACGUACAACCUAUUAUUUUGAUCCUUUGGAAGGUAGUCCCGAUGAAGAGCUAAUGCAGAUUGUCAAUAAGUUAAGUUUGUUAUUUGUAUCUUUGAUCAUGUUAUUUUAUUUUUAUGUCUUAUGCAAAUUAUUUGCUAACGUUGGCUAUGUCACUUAAUUGUAGUGGGAUUCGAAUACAUCAGAGUUUAAAUUCUGAUACAAAGGCCAAUGUUCAAUGGAUACAUGUCAAGGUAAAAAUCAGACAAACCUAAAUAAUUAUUGUUAACGUACAGUAAAAAAUUAAUGUAAUUUUGAUCUUGUAGUGUCCGAGGCAGCCGAGCAACUUUGAAUGUGGUUACUAUGUGAUGAAAUACAUGCAAGAUAUCGUCACAAAUGUGAACGUUUUGAAAAAUAAUGUAAGUAUUGAAAACAAUUUUUACAACACUGCAUCAUAUUGUUUAAAUUUAUUGUGAAAUGAAUUGGCUCAAAGACUUAUUGUGUGCUUCUUUAUAGUUAUCUUUUUAUUGCGUAUUGUAUGCAUUUUAUAAAUUGUGAGGGUACUUAUAAUGGUGACUAUGUUGCAUAUUGUUGAAUAGAUUAUAUGAAUAUCCAUAUAGACAUGAAUUAGGAUUUGGGAUAUACACAAUGUACUGUAUAUCCCAACACAAAACAAUUGUUUGGGUUGCAAAGUAGUUGUUAGUGGGGAUGUGCUAUGGUGUCGUUGCUUGUACUUUACUUUGAUGAUGAUAAGUUGUCAUCCUAAUUAAGGUUUUGUAUCUACAUCCAUAUUUGUAUUAAAUCGCGUACUGUUGGGGUUCACAAGUUUCUUCGGCUAUCAAAUAUUGUUGUAUAAGUUGACUUUAAAGUAGUAAUUGAUGCGAUAAAUACAUCAACAAUGGUUUUUUUUUUUUGCAAUUACCAUGAUCAGGAUGUUCAGUAUUUACCUAUAUAAUUUUGGAUAAAACAGUAACAUUGUUGGAGUUUUUUGUUGGCUUUAAUUGUUAACACACAAAUAUAUUUAAAGAAAUGAUAAUUAAGUAAUUUAGUCAAGGAUUUUCGGUGAAUAACUUGUUGUUUUAAAAUUAAAGUUCAAGGGAAUUGAGGAAUACACCGUGAAGGACCUCUCGCGACUUCGUGAUCAGUGGGCUACAUACGUUGCCAAGUUAAUUAUAGCCUACAAUCGCGAGGUAACAUAUAAGUAAUUUAUGAUUAUUUUUCCUUUAAAAUAUACAAGACUUAUUUUUUGUGGUGUGCUAAUUGAUUUUAUAUACUUGUAGGUGGAAAAAAAAUGAAGGCAUAUGUGGACUCCAAAAUCAGUGACAUUGUUAUCUUUUUUUUUUCUUGUUGGUUAACAUUUUCAGAAAUUAAUUUAGUACUUUAUCGUGUAUAUAUACUACUUGUUCAAAGCUUAAUUUGGUACUUGAAGUUUUUUUUUACCCGCAAACAAUGAUGUAUUUGAACUAUUUUAAUUUAACUGAUGUAUUUAAAAUGUGUAUUAUGUGAAUUGCAUUACAUGAAUUGGUAUGUUUAAUAUAUUUUGGGUUUAUUUUAAUUGUAAAAUAAAUAGGAAAAAUGUGAUUAAAAAAAAUAAAACACUACUGGUGUAGCACCGUUAAUACUGACACUAAUUAUUUAAAUGAUGUUAAGAAUUUUUGAUAUUACUGAGUCAAUGGAUUCCUGAUAUUGUAGUCACAUAAAUUAGUGACCUGUAAAUAGUAUCAUUAAAUGCUAACACGAUUGAGUCACUAUCUUUGUGACUGUAAAUAGUAUCAUUAAAUGCUAACACGAUUGAGUCACUAUCUUUGUGACUUUCUAGUGACACAAAAUACUGACAUAGAAAUAAUAUCAACUGAUACUAACACCAUCGUAUCACUAUUGUGGUGAUACUAUAGUGACAUAAGAUACUGACGUAAAAAUCACUGACACAAAAAAUUAGUGUCAGUGUGUUCAGGCUUGAGCAUUACUGACACAAUUAAUAAGUGUCAACAAAAGUAAUUACUGACACUAAAGUGGUGUCAGUAAAACCAAUUUUUCUAGUAGUAACAAUUAAUCAAUUAAAUCUUUCUUUUACACAUUUAUACAAUUAAUCAAUUAAAUCAUUUUUUACACACUAACACAUAUAUAUAUAACUUAAGUAUCUUUAACCUUAUUAAACUAAUUUACACUCAUAAUAAAAAAUUGUAAAUUACCUCAAGGAACAUAAUCUCUUGUAUCUCAUAGUUUGAGCAUUUAAUUUUGUUUAAUUUCUAAUUUUUUUGUUUAUGAAUUUUUUAAAAUAUAAAAAUUCUCAAGUGUUAGUGCCAUCAAUUUUUUUAACGUAGACACGUUAUUAAGUCCCGUAAUUUAAUAAAGUCAGUGUUUAAUUUACUAUAAAUUCAUAUAAUUUAUUAAUAUAUCUACACUAACUCUAUUAAACUAUAUAAUUUAAUAAUGUACCCAUAUAAAAAAAAAAUUAAAGGCGUUUGCAUGAAAAAAUGAUUCUUUUAAGAUAAUAUAAAUUUAUUGUAAUUAAUUACUUUUUGGAGGCGGCCAGAUAGGCUUACAAAAAUUACAGAUGGGAAUAUAACCAGCCCCGAAAUUAACCAGGAUUAACAUCAGAUUGAACAGUUGGAGGUGGAGUGAGGAACCACGUUGAAAUGCGGAACCUGUCAGUGUCCACCUGCUUGCACCGCAGUUUGCAUGCAAUUUGUUCAUAUCUCUCAUUAACACGUGUCGCCAAGGUAAAGAAUCCCCACGACAUCACAUGCAUAAUGCAUAUACCUUAUGCAGCAGCAGUUUCGUUCACCUCGAAGUUUGUGAUACUGAUAUCGAUGAUGUGUAUGUACAUAUCUAUAAACCAUUGAGCUGGAACCACCCGACCACUGCCCAAAACUUGCACUCUCUUGUUUUACAAACGAUAUAAUUUGUAUCAUGAGAUCCCCUCAAGCAAAGUACCAGUAGAGCAAUAAAGGUACAAGAUAUCAGGUAUAAUUUAUCUGUUUAGUAUCAUUAAUUUUUGUUUCUUUCUAACAAUGGAAGAAGUAGAAAAUUAAUACUUCAUGUAACUUGAAGUAGUUUAUAAGCUGUCUCCGGUUUUUGUCAGUGAGUCUCUUUGUCUAUCUGCUGAAACAAGAUAAGUGCCGUUAUGUUUUGUAACUGGAAUCAAACCUUUCGAUUAGCUAGAUCCGAACUUCGAAGUUCGAACCUGGGUGGUCAGUCGAAGAUAGCUGCUUGAAAACGACUGUCGACUGUCGCGUUUAAAGUCUUGUGCUUUGAUUUGUUAAUUGCUCACACUUUUUUGUAAUUUGUAUUUGACAGCGAAUGAUUUAGUCAGACUCAUAGUUGAAUCAUGCUUUGGGUGGUCAGUCAAAGAUAGCUACUUGAAAACGAUGGUCGUACUUAUGUUUUGUGCUUUAAUUUAGUAAUAACUCACACAUGUUGUUUUUGACGGCAAAUGAUUUAGUCAUAGUUAUUCUACAGUGUGUUUCAUUUUCUGAGCUGCUUCUUUAUAGUAUGCUAAUGUCACAUGUAGGCUAGUUUUUGAUUUUAUCGGAACUAAUUGAACGUUGAACUUUCAUCAAAAUUUGGUAGAUGGAAGAUACAGAUCCAGCUGAGGAAUGGGCUAUUCAAGAGUACUCAGCUGAACAAGAGUGUGGCAAAUUGAGUUGAAUCGUGAACAAGGGAUUAAGUGUUGGAAAGAAGGUUUUGGUUACAGGUCUUGUGAUAUCUUCUGCACCAUUGGUUCUUCCUUCACUUGUGGUUAUCUCAGUUAUCGGGUUUGCUUGUUCGGUCCCUUCUGGGCUCUUUUUGGCAAGCUAUGCUUGCGCCAAUAAGCUCAUGAGUAAGCUGCUGCCGGGGUCUACUCCGCCUCACUUUUUAUUAGAUUAUGGAACAAAGUAUAGAGAUGAAGAAUUUGAGAAUUAUGAUAUUGGAGAACACGGAUACGUGGGGCUUAAAGGACAUAUUGAUAUGGGGAAGGAGCAAGAUGAAAUUGAUGGAGGGAAGGCUUUGGUGAGUGAUGAAUAUGAGCAAGGAGGUUUCCAUAUUAAUGAUGCGAAUGAGAUUGUGGACGAAAAUGAGUAUCAAGAAGGUGUUGGUGAGUGUGAAGAUGAAAUGGAGGAAGCAGCAGUUGGAAUUGAGGUGAAAUUUGAAUCAAUUAGAGAGGAAGAAGGGAAACCGGCGCCAGAAGGAACCCAGGGUCAGCUUCCUGUAGAUGAGGUGCAUGCUGUUGUUGUUGAAAUUGCUGGAGAUGAGACAAGUGGCAUAAUUGUUGAAGAAAAAGAGGCGCUGGCAUUUACUGUCACAAAUAUAGCUAUAGAAUUAUGUCAGAAUAGAGACAUUGAGGAAGAGCAGGAAUUAGUGAGAGAGACCAGGGGAUUAUUAGAAAAAAUCAGGGAGGAGGGUAUGACUGCUAGUGGAGACAAUGAGAAGCAGAGUGUAGAAAAACAGUCUGGAGUUGCAGGGGAAGGAGACAGGAAAGUUGAAGAAAUUGGGUUGCCUUCUGAAAAUAAAAAUUAUUAUGGCACCGUCAGAAUCGAACAUGCUGAAGGUUUGUUAGGUAAAAGAGAUGGCGAUAACAUUUUGGAAUCAGGAAAAUCUGAAGUUGAGAAAGAUGGAGCAACUAAUAGUGGCAGUGCUAGCAAAAAACCUAAGGUAGAGAUGCAUUAUUUGUUGGAAGGAGGAAAAGCUAAUGAAAAUAUUACUGGUAAUUUUCAACAAGAUUAUCAAUUGAAUAAGGAGAAGGAAGCUGUGAUCUCCACAAAUGCAGAUGCAAGAGAAAUUGCUGAUGAAAGUGGAUUUGACUUGUAUGAUGAUAAUAAAAUUGAUGCCUUGCAGCAAAAAUCAUCUACAGAUCGUGGAUCUGUUGAUGGUAAAAUUCAAAAAAUAUUUGCUCCUUAUACCAAUCAAAAAAUUGCUUUUUAUUUUUAAGAUAACUUCUGAGUUCAUGAUGGAUGUGCAGAUAUUUAGAAACCUUCCAAGUUAUCAAGCCUUGAGAAUGCUGAUUACAUAGAGCUUCUUGUUUCUGCAGGAGAACAUGAAUGCAAUGGCAUUGCUAAAAUUUUAUCUGAGAAAGACUUGGGUUUCCACGAGGUUAGAGAUUAAUGUAUGUGUUUUCCAGAUUAGUAUCUGAAUUAAAUAUCCCUCUUGUUAUAAGGCAAUGCUAUGUUCCUAUCUACGUAAAAGUUCUAUCGUUGUCUGAGUUAUUUCAAAUCUUUGUUAUCUCUGUUAACAAAUCAUGUUAAGUGCAGAGAGGCUCUUGAUUAUUUUGAGGCUGAUGAACGAUCAAAAACUUGAUUAUCUUCAAUGUUUCUAGGCCUCAGCUCUGUUGUCUUUCUUUCAUCCCUUGCAAUUGGAGUUGCACAUUGUGUCUGGCCGUGUUUGCAUGAUCUAAUUUCAUAAUCACUUUUUUUGGCUAAUUUCAUCAUAUUCUAGGACAGCUGAUGGAUGUUCCUAUGAUUCCUUCGAGUUGAAUCUUCAGUUCUGAUCCACUUUGUUCUCUUCUUUAUAAUUCUUAGUCAAUUUGAAAGAGAAUUAUACGGUUUGAUUUGCUGUUCAUCUUAAAAACCAAAGAAGUCUAUCCUGCAAACUUUUCAAGGUUUCACACUGGAACUCAAGCCUUCCUUUCUUUUACAUGUGCGCACACACACACACAGAGGAACAGAACCUAUAUAUAAGCUUGUUAUAGGUCAGUGCUAAUUAAAAUGGAAGAUACAUCAAUCAUUGUCGGCAUCUAGCUACUUUAAAGUGUAAAAUGCAAAUGUCUAUAUUUGUUGGAGAACUUUAAAGUGUAAAAUACAAAUGUCUAUAUUUGUUGGAGAACACGUCUGCUCCAAAUGGUCCCAAACUUUUCCUUUUGUUUUUAAAGGAAUCGGAUCUUUGAAACAUCAAAGGAAAAGCAUUCAUGGAGUCAUCACUUUGUCAGUAGAACUACUUUCGCAGCAAGCCUUAUAUUUUUACGCUCUCUCUUUUGCUUAAUUCUUAGAAAUAUAUAUUUAUUUCUCGGUUGAAUGACUAGCAUGAUCAUGCAGUUAGUGAAAUACUAGCAACAUACAAACAGGGAAAGCUCAAAGCUUUCAUCAUGGAGUGUAGCGAAAUACUAGCAACAUACAAACAGGGAAAGCUCAAAGCUUUCAACGUGGAGUGACUGUCACAAUAUCUAUAAUUUAUAUGCAUAAAUUUGAUCAUGACCAUCUAUUUUCUUGCCAAUAUCGAUGAUCUGUUUUUCUUGCAGGUAAUGUACAAUGAGGGAAAGAUCUGGGAACAAAUUGUUGGAAUGCAAAAAAUAGUGGGAUAUAAAGCAGCAAAACAGGCAACAUGUCUUGAGGAAUUAAAGGCUCUUUAUCUCUUUACUGGAGUUGAGCCACCAGCCUCUUUUAAGGACCCUUGUGAUCUUCAGGAAGUAAACGACAAGCUUCGAUUACUCAUGUCUAUUAUUGGAGUCAAGUAGUAGCAGCAGAUGUUUUUCGCUUAGAUGAUUUGCUUGGUUUUAAUGGGAUUGCUGUUAUGUCAUGCUUCUUCCUAUGUGUACGGUGUGAACUUCAAUGUUGUUUUUGCAUGCAUCUGGAUUUUGGAUUAGAGCAACGGUUGCCAUAAGCAUUUUAAAGUAUUUUGAAGUGGGGUUGGCAAUUGGUGGGGAUUUGUUGAUCUUGAUCCUGUCUAGAUUGAUUAAAAUAUGUGUUUUAAAUUUUGUUUGGAACAGUAAAUCGAUAAAAAUUGUGUUUUCAAUUCUGUUCGCAGCAGUAGAUCGGUACAUAAACAUGUCUUGAUUUCGUCAAGAUUUUGAAUUUUCUUAAUGACGUGAGUUUUGUGCUAUACGAUGUAGAUUUUAUCAUAAAUGAUGUGUCUACAUUUAUAAUUGAUGUCAUACUUUUGGGUCCGGCUACGGUGAUACGGUAUCACCGUUGUAUCCAGCCGUUGGAUUUACUUAGAUGAAUGGAUCCAGUGAGAUCCAACGGCUGGGUGCAACGGUGAUACCGUACCACCGGUGCACCAUAGUUUUCUCCCAUACUUUUAUGUCAUCAUAUGUCAUACAUAUACGAUUGUGAGAUUCAUGUGAAUUAAUUAAAUUGAUUUGUUUUAUUCCAAUUAGUAAGUUAAAAUCUAUCCAUUUGAUUAGUGAAUCAAUUUAUCUAGAUUUACCGAUUCGAUUGGUGAAUCAAUUUAUCUGAAUACUGAGUUGGGAUAACAUUUUAUUUUAUAUCGAAUCUCAGAACGGAGCGGGAGAUACUGCCAAUUCUACUUUCAUGCAUCCAGUUUCAAUUGUUGCAAUUGGGUUUGUUAGAUAAUAGUAACGAAAGUUACCGACGGAUUCUGAAGGAGAAUAACUAGAAGUCUGAAAGUGCAUUUUUAAUCCACAAGAAGAAGUGGAAAUCUCUCAACAGCACUCGUUAAAUCUUUAAUAUUAACCUGUAAUAAAAGAAAAGAAAAUAAGGCUUUAAACAACUAAUCUGAUAUGCGAGUUAACUCCAAAUUCGGCAUGCACUGGGACUUUGUAAUUCUUCUGCAUCAGUAUCAACUGUAAAUACAAGUUUUACUCUGUCAGAUACAUUAUACAUACAUCAUUUCUGACAUGCAGCAACGGAAGAAGUGCCAACAGUGUAAGCCGCCAGGUACUCAUUAUUCAUCUCUGAAACUGGAUAAUCAUCUUUAUCAUCUAAUAUACUUGGGCAGUAUCUGAUAAGUUACGAGAAACUAUCAAAUAACAAAUAUCUUACUGAUUAAAACAAUCACACAGAGGAUGGGAUAACAUUAGCCAACUGGUUAGAUCCACUAGUGAUAUCAGAAAUAUACCCAACCAGGCUAAUUCUAUCCCAAGCACAGACAUAAACAUGUUAUCCAUCUUCAUAGCUACAAAUAAUCCUUUAUUUCUGUCCCAUAUAAGAGGGUAUGUUGAAUAAUCACCAAAACUAGAAAUAAAAUCUGACAAAUAUUAUCUGAAUGAUCAUAACAAAGAAGAAAACAGCUACUAUUAUCUGCUAAACACCAAGAGUGGAGUGGCUAGCUCCAGCCGCUUUCCAUAUUUUAACCCAUUCCACCAUUGCUUCGGCAGCACGAACAAACAAAGGAUCCGUUCCUCCAAGCCGAUCCUUCACUGAUUUCGCCAUCUCAAGCAAACAAUCCUCAGCAGUAGUCACUGUCCGUGGCAACCUUACUGACUGAAAGAAAGGUAUUAUUUCCUCCAUCUUUUUCACCCCUUCCCAUUCCUUUUUCAAGCUCUCUAUCGGAUUACCCUUGUCGCUCCUAAACACAUAAGGUAGCCCGGUUUUCACACCAAUACUCAAGUGAUCGCAUAUAACCUUGACACACAUCCCACACCAGAUAUCUUCAAUUGUUUCCCACCUCAGCUUUCCCUCCCCAGUUAACUUCAGACCUGGGAACAAAGCUGGCCCCACCAACGCACGAUUAAAAGCAAUGUUAAUUCCGCUGAUGGGCAUCAAAGUCCCAGCUGGAACAGUCAUAACAGCAUCAACAUAAUGCAAAUUUCUGUGUUCCGGCUUGAGAGCUUGCGUAGGUGCAUCAUAAUCUGCCAAGUUGAGCCAGAGGCCACAGGACAAAGCACAGUCAACUCCACUUCGCAGGCUAAAUGGAUAUCCACGAACAAAAUCUGCUCCCUCCCGAAAAGGGUCAUAGAGUGUAUUAAAGAAGAAAGGAGUAGCUGGUGUUGUAAGAUUGGCAAGAUGCUGGCUCACGGCGUUGGUUAAAUUGCCAUCAUUGUCCUUUGCUGGAAGGCAAUCAUCAUCAACAGAGAUAAUAUAUUUCUUUCUAGAUACCAGAUAGCCAAAGUACCUGCAUGAAUAACCAGAGAAGACAAUGGAUGUGGUAGGACCGAUAACUUGGUCAAUGUCAGACUUAGUAUAGACACGAUGGUCAAAACCUUGUGGUAUUUUGAGUUCCCCUUUGAGAUCAGGGUCUUGGACAAUUAUAAGGUGGAAGCGGGAGAAUAGCGGUCUCCAUGCAUUUAGGAAUGAUGUCAGGUCAGAUUGCAGAGCUGCUAUAACGAUGUCAACCUCACUGUCGCUGAUGUGUUCUAAAGCCAUCUCCCAGAAAUUGAAAGUGAUAAUUCAGACCAACCAAUUGUUUGCUAAAACCACCUCGUGUUUGGCUCAAAUGUCCUCAAAUACGCCCAACCAUACACCAAAAAGAGAAAAGAAAGUCUUAAAAUUUCUCAGAACAUCCUGUGAAAACAUAUUCAAAAAUGUCAGAAACCAAAUGGUUCAACUCAAGCUUACUGAAAAAACAAGAUGAUGAAAAUUUCCAAAUUUACUAACUGGUAGGGAGAACAGGGGUGAGGAUAUGCUUGAUAUUAAGUGCCUGGAUCAAAAAAAGAACUUCAUCUUCUCCGGUUGCAAUGAACAGCUUCAAAACUUUCUCUGUAAGCUUUCCAGCAUUUAAUGUUCUCUGGUACCAUGUACACCAAUGAUAUUAUAAACAUCCCGAUAUUAUAGACAACAAGAAUGAGGAAGAAUAUUAACGAUAUAACAGUCAGUCUGUAGAAAGGCAAUGCUAUCAGUAAUGUAGCUCUAGUAGGAUUUGUACAAUUCAGAUAAGAAUGAGAAAAAGGAUCUCAUCUGGCAUGACUAAAUGCAAAAAAAAAAAAUAUCAAACAAGCCAUCUACGUAUCUGCUCAAAAAUAUCUUUAGUUUUUCCAUCCAUUUUUGCUGAUUUGAGAGAUAAUAUAAUGCGCUGAUAUUUAAUUCUUACAAAGCAGACAGACUGGUCUAAUCUUGAUUUAAGAGGCGCAAAAAAGGGUAUUUUGUAAGAAAACGGAUCAAUCGUGUAAAUAUUGCAAGAGGCAGGAGUCGUAAAUAAAUAAAGCAAAAUGAUCUUCGUUUUGAGAUGUAUCAUUCAUCAAGUAAACCAAACCAAAAUGAUACAUAAUUCAAAUUUGACAGCCCAAAAGAAACGAGCAUCCAAAACCCAAUUAAUGAUUCUCCAAAACAAAAUCGAUAAUCACAAAAUUAACUUGAUCGAUCAAUUAAACAACAGAUACCCAGUAAUAGUAGUCAGCAAUAAUCAAUAAAUCAUUGACUGAAAUAAAGUAAAAUAGAAGAAAAGAGCGGGGGAAGGGGAGGUUAAUUUACCAGAAAGAGAUCUAGAAGGAUGUGAUCAGGAAGAAUAGAAAGAUCGGAGAUGUGAGAGAGAUUAAGAACAGCCUUAUCUAUAGUUAACGACAGCAAAGAUGGCGGGGUUCUCAUUCAUUUAUUGAGAAAGAAUUGUUCAACACUUUUGUCCGAUUUUAACUUGCACCAUUAGCCAGCUUGCUCCCUCCUGAAUUUUGUAUUCUCCGUCUCUCACGCCCUUUCCAUGACCGACAUGCUUUGCUUUUCUACCCCACCUAGUACACACCGUUCCACUUUUUUCCGGGAAAUUUACAAAAUAACUAUAAAACUUUUAUUAUUUUCAUAAUUAACCCUCUAAAUAUUUUUCUAUCAAUAUUAACUAAACACACGAUUUUCUCUCCAAAUUAACUUUAUUUACAAACUAAAAUAACUUUAUUUCUCUCCUUUUAUCAAAUCAAACGCAGAUUUGUAUUCUUGAAUCAUUACCGGCGACUGUCACAUAACUUAAAAUUGAAAAGUUAGACAUGUCUCAUAACUUAAAAUUGAAAAAAAAAAUCACAAACCAAUGCAUGCAAACAUCUUACAAAUACAUCUUAAUUUAAUUCAAAAUAAUCAAAUAAAAUAAUAAACGGAAUGAAAGUACCUAAGAAGAGCCAACUAUGAUUUUAUUGAUGGGAAUGAAGGUCAAGUUAAGGAAAAAUCCAAUGCACCAAGUCUGUUGCACCAAAAGGCAGAUUGUCCCAUGACUCGCAGCAAGCAACCCCAUUGAAACUCUCUCGCAAGUUUAGAAAAUAACUCAUACUACUCAGUGAUGUCGUUUGGUGUUGGAUCCGGAUGGAUUAUGAUCGGAUUUCACUUUUAUCGUUCAUCGUCGGCGUUUACCGUUGCCUUUUGCCGUCACCGGUGAUGAUUUAAGAGUACAAAGUUGUGUUUGAUUUGAUAAAAAGGGAGAAAGAAAGUUGCUUUUGGUUUGUAAACAAGGGUAAUUUGGGGAGAAAAGCGUGUGUUUGGCUAAUGUUGAUAGAAAAAAGUUUAGAGGGUUAAUUCUGAAAAUAGCAAAAAUUUUAUAGUUAUUUUUAUAAAUUUCUCCUUUUUUCCUUGCAUCCUUAUUUUAUUUUAUUUUAUUUAUGAAUCUCAACAUCCAUAAAAUAGUCAUGAAAACUUUGAAAUUUUUAAUAAAAAACAACAUUUUUUUAAUAAUAAUACCCUAAAAAAAUUAAAAAAAACUUACCAAUCUAACUUUUUUGUAUAAAUUUAUUAUCAAAAUUAACUAUAUAAUAGAAUUUCUUACAACAAUAACAAAACACACUUAAAUUGGACUAAAUUACCCCCCUAAUAAACCAACUAAAUAUAUUUGGUAACACUUUACUCUACAAAACUCCCUCCAAAAACUAUACACAAAUUCCACAAAACUCCACUAUACACAAACUCCACAAAACUCCUCUCAUUUCACCUGCAUCAAACAACAAUUAUUACCUAGUACUGAAGACAAAAUCAAUCAACACAAAAAAAAGAAAAAAAGAAAAAGAUCUAGGGCCCCUUGAAUUCUUAAUAAACAUAAUAUUUUGUUUUGCUCGUAUAAAUGGAAAGAAUGGAUCACUAGUAAAGAAAAAAUUAUACAAAACUAGAUAAAGCGAUCAAGUAGGAAUUAAGCGUAGUUUUCCUAAAAUUUAGAUUGUAAGAUUAAGUAAGUUUUAUGUAUGAGUUAUGUAGGGACAAAUAUCUUUGUUACUUUUCUAACAAUUUAUUAUUAGUGAAUGUCAAGUGUUGAAGCCGAAUAUCCAAUGACAAUGAAAAUAGUUUGAGACACAAGUUGUCCUACGCAACCCAUUGCUUCUUUAUCAAUAGACAUAUUAAAGGAUGAAAUGGUAGACUACUUUUUUGAUAUUAAACAGUGUAUAAUUAUGAAAAGAGCUGGAAAAUUCUUUGAGAUGAUUGAAAAAAAAAUUCUUAGAGACAUUUUAAUGAACACCUAAUAUGCCGUACUUUACAAACAUUAAUUUUAAGAAAAUUUUGAAUUGUUCACAUCAACACAUAUCCUAAUGUGUCUUUUUUUAUUAAUAAUAAUCCACCAGUCAAUUAAACGUUGAUUUGAUAGUGUGAGAGAGCCAUAACAUUGAGUUGAAGCGGAUCCUCAAACCAUCGGCAAUACAUAUUUUUUGCCGAUGGGGGUUGUGAUGUUGAGAUUGGGAUAAUGGGGCUGUCAUGCUCAAUGUGGGAGAUGCGGGUGAUGAGGAGUUUGGGCGAUUUAGGAGAUGAAACAAUUUAGGCGAUUUGAACUAUAGUAUUAUUAUUUUGAAAUUUGUUGGUUUAUAAGUUAGGGUAAUUUAGUUCAAAUUGAGUGCAUGUGGCUAUUAUUAUAAGAAAUUUUGUUACAUUGCUAGUUUUGAUAAUAAACUUAUAAAAAUGGCUAGAUAAAUGGAUAAAUUUUUCAAAAAAUUGACUCCAAUGUUUUAUAAUAAAUAGAAAUAUUAUAUUAAAAUAAAUAUAACAAUAUAAAUAUUUUAAAAUAAUUUCAUAUAAAAAUAUUUUAACACUUUAAAAUCUUGUAUUAUAUUAAACUAAAUUUUAUAAUAAAUACAAGCAUAAUAUUAAUAUAUAUAUAUAUACUUUCAAUUAUUUUCAGUAUUAUAUAAAAUAAUUUUAAUAUUAUUAAUACAUGAGAUAUGUUUUAUUAAUUGUAAAAUUUGUUUAACUUAAAGAUUUAGUUUUAAUUUUUAUAAUAAAAAUAAAUAUAUUAUUAAAAUAAAUAUAAUAGUUUGUAUUUUAACUUUAGUGCCUUGUGGCGUUUUUACACCAUUAUGAGACGGGUCAGCUAAUCAGUCAACCCAGGAGCAAAUGUAUGGAGCCGUGCCUCGACUUCUCGCCAGGCUAUAGUUCAUUUGGUGACUAGUUUUCAACAGCAACAACUUUCUUUUACUUGCUUGAUGCUUGUGGGUUGCCUGCGGUUUUGGUAUUUUGAUGAUAUGAUUCGUAAGGUCAUAGACAGGAUUUCAGUGUGGGCCAAUCGAUUGCUUUCUUUUGUGGGUAAACUAGACUUGUAAAGGCAGUCUACUAGAUUUUUAUUGGGUGAUACAAAUUCUAGGCGGCAUAUCACUAUACAGAUUGCCUUCUGUGUGUUUUCUUGGGUAGCAUGGGAUUGGUGCUUUCUUGGAUUUGGCUGAGGCUUCUGACCUAAAAUUGUGGUGGUGUUUUUACUUGCUUUUUGGCAACGAUGAAUGUCUUCUUUCCAGCAUUUUCGGGUUCGCCUUUUGUGCUUCAUUUUACGGCAUAUUUGAAAGGCUUGAAAUGUCUUUAGAUUUAAUUAAUAAUUAUAUUGCCUUUUCUGUAGAUGUUAUCGUUUAUAGGGUGGUUUCUAACCUUAAGCUUCCUAGUUUUGCUUGUGUUUUUAAACCAUCUCAGUUGACAGCGGUGUUAGAUGCUUAGCUCGGGGAAAGUUUGCGGAUUAUCUUGGCUCCCUGCAAGUCGGUUCAUUCGGUUUCUGGGUUGAGGAUGCUGCCUGGGUGGUGAUGCUUAGUGUGGAUAGUUGCUCUUCGGGAAAUCCUCGUUUAUUUGUUGCAGUAGCGUCCUGAUGAUCAUUAGGAUGUGGUUCUACCUGCUAUUGGCUAUUUUCUUCGGUACCAGUUGAUGUUUUUUGCUGAGCCGAUAGCUAUUUGCGAGGGCUACAACUUGCUAUUUAUUAACGCAAUUUAAAAGUAAUUUUUAACUUUUAAGUAUAAGAGUGUCUUGUUGUAUUAUAACUCGGUGAGUCCGAGGUCAAUCCACAGAGAAAAGAUUUAAUUUAUUUAUUUUAUUUUAUCUAAAAAUUAAAAAUAAAACUCAAAUAUAAACAACUUAAUUUAAAUAAAACUAUGAAAUUGAAUUAGUUAGGGUUGUGGAUCCACUCUUAGUAGUAAAUAAAACUUAAUAAAUUCUUUUUGCCAUUUUUUUUAGAUUUAUUGUCCAAAAGAUUAAUUAUAUAAAUUAUUAUUAUUUCCCCUUUAAUUUUAUGAUGGAUUAAGAAUUUAUUGUGGCAAACUCCCUUGUUUUUCUACAAUAAAUCAAAAUUUCAAAAUAUAAAAUAUGUAUAAAAUUAAAUAGAAAAAUAAUUUAAUUUAUAAAAUUAAAAAUAGAAUUUGAUUAAAUCAUAUUUAUUUCCUAAGAGUUUUACCUUACCCUAACUAUUAUUAUUUAGUUAAGCAUAAUUGAAAUAAAAAGAAUUAUUAAAAUUAAAUUACUUAGAAUUAAAAGUAAUAAAAACAACUAAAAUUGAAAAUAAAACUAAAUUUAUUUAUAAAAAUAAUUAUACAAAUAUUAAAAACACACCUGAAAAUCAAGAUUACAGGGAGAUGGAGAGAAUUUGAGAAGAAGAGAGAUGUAGAGAGAUGAUUAAAAACAUAAAAAUGAAGCUCUAUUUAUAGAAAAAUAAAUUUAUAAUCCAGUGCUUUGCGGUCCAUCAUAAGCUUCAUGCAUGCGCUCUGAGCAACCAUUAGAGCAAGAUCCAAUGGCUGGUACAACUUCAAAAGUCAACAUCACACGUGGCAUCAUUUGACUCGUCUGAUUUAGCCAAAGAACGAUUGAGAUUUGGCAGGUUAAUAGGUGGAUCGGGUCGACCUGAAUACAAAGAUUUGGAUCCUACAAGUUACUUCACCAACCAUUGCCACGUGGCACAAUCAUGACCAUUGAAUCAUGAACGUUUGAGAUUUAGUCAAAAUUGCUAGCUAUCCCGUGCACUCAUACCUAUUGUAAGCUCAUUUCAUCAUCCAAUCAGUGCUCGGUCAACAGAAAAAGUCAACUCUUUUUACACAAUCCCAAUUUUAAGUCGAUCUUGACUCAUCUUAAGGUUUUCGGACCUCCGGAAUCCAAAUUUGACAUCCGUUUAUCUGUUUGGAGCCUCGAAUUACCUGAAAUUAAUAUUUUACCUAAUAAACACACAAAAAGACACAAAAUUAGAUAUAUUUAAUACAUAAUUAAUAAUUAAUAAUAUAUUACAUAAACACAAAUAUAAAUUAUAACAUAAGCACAAAAUAAAAUUAUUAUCACUUGAUAAUUAAAAAAUUUUAAAUACUAAUCAUUUAGCUUAGUUAUUAUACUCUUAAGGAAUUCGAUUUAGACACUGUGGUUUCAUGAAUUACCUCUUAUGCCUUUGUGCGAUGAGAGUUUGCUUAUCUUCUUGGUUGAGUUCGUGCUUUAUCUUCUAGUCCUUUAGUCUGUAUGAGUCAUGUUUAUUGAGAGGUUACUUCUACUACUGAUUUCAUGACCAACUGGGCUUGUUCUUAUCAAACUCAUCAGUAAUUUUUGUGUUAUUAGGAUCUUCUACCUUUUUAACUGGCAUUCUCUAUAUGGAUGCUCUUGAAACUCUGUAUGUUAGGAGAUGAUUUUUUUCUUUCUUAGGUGUUUUUGCCUUUUUUUUAAGGCUUUUUUGCCUUUGCUUUAUUUUGGGCUUUAUAUUGGAGGUUUUAGUUCUGUCCGCUUCCUUCCAUUCAUUUUCUUCCGAUCUUUAUCACAAGCAAGGGUCUAGCCUAACUCCACUUUCCCCCUUCCCCACACCAUCUCGAUAGUUUUUAAGAAAAAGAAAGUUUACAUUUUAAAAGUUAUUUUAUAUAGUAAUCUGCAAGACAAAUUAUAUUUGUUGUCUUAACCAUAUUUUUGCUAAGAUCCAAUUUAAACCAUUAAGUGGUUGUUCUCACCGGAUCUAGGUCAAAUCCGAUUAAAACAAAUAAAUUUUAUAUUUUAGGGGGAGAUUGGGCUAUGUUUGGAUUUAGGCGUAUUUUUAUGAUAUUUAGGGCAUGAGGUAUAGCUAAGGUGAUCAGAGAGGUGAGCUGAGGUGAUUUCAGAGGUGAAUUGAGGUGUUCUGAGUUUAGAACAAUAUAAAGAGCUCAGUGGAGCUCACGCGAUUUAAUUUAGAGAGUUGAUGUAGGGACCUAAAAAGAGCUUAGGGAAUAGCUCUGGUGAAUUCGAGGAUAGUUUUAAAGAACUUAUCUGCGGAGUCAAUAUAGCUCGUGGUAUAACUCAAUGGUAAGCUCACAUAUGAAUAUGUGAUCUGGAUAUCAAAACCAUCAUAUAAAAAAAAUAAUCAUAAACAAUAAAACACACAAUAUUUUACGUGGUUUGAUCUUUUGGCCUACAUCCACAAGAGUAAUAAUCUCCAAUCCACUAUGUAUUUGAAAUAUUACAUGAUUUGCUUUAUGACAUCAACAUAACCUUAUUAAAGGUUGUUUAUGGUGAAUAAUAAUAUGGAGGAGAUGUGGGUCUUUUGGAGAUUAGAGAGUUCUUUAAGAUAAGAAUAAAGGAAAAACUUCUUUGAGAGAUGAGGAGGUCAAGAUCUUUUAGAGAGCUAUUAAAAUAGAGGGAUAAAAAGAUUAAGCACCCUAUGAAGAAAUUAGAUCUGGAAAAAAAUUUUAUAGUUGGAUGUAGCAAAAGGAGAGAGAUAGAGAUAGAAAUCCUUAGUAAGAUUCUGGAUGAUAAAAUGGCACCUUGAAGGUCUAACAAUGAUGUUUUUACUCUUAAGAAGAAGAAGAUGACUCUAUUUUUUGAAUGAGAAAGAACUUAACAUCCUUUAAGAAACCUUUGGCUUUAUUGGAGUGUGCUUGAGGGCCGUUUUGGUCCAUUUGGACUUGUGGCGUUCAUUUAUUGGCUGACCUCCCUCAGAUCCGGUUAUUUAACUAAUUUGUCUUAUGGUCCCUUGAUAGUAACAUUCAUAAGUUUAGGAGGUAAAGAAACCUCUAGCCGCCCUUUUGCCUCCAAGAUGAGGCACAUGGCUGCCUCUCCAGUUUGUGGUUCUGUUGUUUUUAGGGCACAGUAAAGGGUAGCUGACAGUUCAACCAAGGAAUCUCUUUUGCCAUUGGUUCCUUGCUCAUAGCUAAAAAAGAGAUUUUUUUUUUUAUUUCCCAUAUGAUGGCAUGCACUAUUUAUAUGUGGCUUAUAACCACAAAAAAAUAUGGAUUCUAAUAAUGCCUUUUGAUAUUGCAUGUUUUAUCAAAACUGCCCCUUUCUUUAAGGAGUUUAUCUCCCAAUUUCCUGUGAGCUAUAGCAAUGUUCUAGUAAAAUGAAAUGGCUUUAUUUUGUUAACUCCUCUUGCCACAUGUAAUUGUGUUAUUGGUCUACAUUUGCACCUAUAUUUUCCCUUUAAAUAAGAUCCCCUUAUUCUUUUUAUAUUAAAAAUUUUUGAAACACAAUUUCCUGUGAGCUAGCAAUGGUGAGACUAUUUCCAGUUUCUAAAUAUGGAGAAAAAUGGAAGGAUCAUAUUGAUAUAUUGCUAUAAAGGCAAUUUUGAAAUUCUGACGAGCCUCGGGAAUCCUAAUGAAAGUUCCUCGUCACUCUCAAAACUUCAUUAACAUGGUCUCCUAUGUAGGCCUUUUAUUCAAAUUUGAAAGUGGGUUAGUGGAUUUUAAAAUAGAUUGAUGUUAUCCUAUAUGGCAUUCCCCCAUUAGUUCUCCCACAACAUACAUUGCCAUUUUCAGUUGUGUUUCAAUGGCCAUUACACCCCUGCUAUUAGAUUAAAACAAUCUGGAUAAAAGGAAAUCUACACCUGACAUAUGUUGUACUCUCUCUAUCACACAAUUUUCUUCACAAAACAAACUCUUUCCUUUCUCAUUGCUUUAUUUUUAGAUUUCGUUAGCCUUUCUGUGAGCUUGAGACUUCUAAAAAUAAAAAUCUUCGAUCUGUUCUUGGCGUUUCAGAGCUUCUUUCCCAGUGAGUUUUUCUUCUUCCUCUUUUUCAUGGGGUUCACUUCAUACUGUGACCAUAUGUUUUGACCAAAAUCUAUUGUAGUGUAGGAGCUAUUUUUGUUAGCUUUGCUGCAACGUUUGCUCAUGCUUUGUACCCAGGUUUGAUCUCUUUUCUACAUUGCUCUCCUUUUUCACAUUCUUCCUUUUUUUUUUUUUCUAUUUUUUGUCUCCCCUCUCUCUCUUUUUCUUGCUUUGUUGGUUGUGUUAAGUUUGUUGCUGUUGGGUCCAUCUCAUUUGGGUGACUUUUUUUUUUCUUUUUUCUAUCUCCUCUCUCUCUCUCUCUCUCUCUCUCUCUCUCUCUCUUUCUUGCUUUGUUGGUUUUGUUAAGUUUGUUGUUGUUGGGUCCAUCUCAUUUUGGUGGCCCAAGCCCAAGUUCUAUUAAUUUUGGCAUUUAAAUAAUUAAAGAAAUCUUGAAGGUGUUAGAUGAAAAUUUCCAUGAAAUUUAGGUUUUGAAAGCAUUAUAUAUAAGAGAGUAAGUGGUAGCUGACAUUGAGAAAAAAGAAGAAAAAGGCGAGAGAGGGAGAGGAGACAGUGGCGUGAGUUUAGUUUGAGGCAAGAAUUUUCAAUCUUUGAUUGGAUGCUCGGAAGGCGAAAUUAACUUUGAUUUCUCACAAAUUUUGAUGGUAAGUUCCUGGUAUUGUCCUCUACAAUCCUAUUUGUUUUGAUUUUUAUUUUAUCCUCUCAUUGGUUAUUAUUUGAAAUACCCACUAGUUAGAGAGACAUAUAUUAGCAUGUUACUGUAAGUCAAGAAUAUUGAGAUUCUUGAUGUUGUUAGCCUCUAGUAUUAUUUAAAGAAGAAUUUGUGCUGUAAUUUUAUUAAUAUAGUGGAAGAUUAUAUCGGACUAAGGUCUUGUGAUUUUUCCCACUUUGAGUUUUCCACAUAAAAUCUGUGUCUUUUCUGGUUGAUUUAUUGCUUUGAAUUUUGUUGGUUUAUUUUCUGUCUAUUUAUUUAUGGUACACAUCCUAUUUUAAUCACAUAAAGAGGGAACGAGUUUUGUUUCCGCUUAAUUUGCAGCUACUUGUGUGAGUCCCUUUUCCAACAGUUUCUUGGUGAUUUUGUAUUAGACAUGAAGAGAAAAGUUGGUGGUUUAUUUUUUAAGGACAGUGAUGACUCGAGUAGGGCGAGUGGAGAGUCAUAAUGAUUUUAGUAUGCUCCUAGGAGUAGUUAUCUUCGAUCAUUGAGUGGUGAAAGUAAUGAGGACGUUAGCCUAAAGGGCUACACACGUUAUAAUUUUAAUGAUAACAAGCAUGUGUCUUAAGUGAUAUGAUAAAUAUUGUAUUCCAUAUUUUCACUAGUUCUUGAAGGAAAAUGUUUAUGCAAGUGAAUCAAGUGAAAUCAAGCUCAAGACACUCAACAGACAACAACUUGAUCAAGAACAAAGUUUAGCUCAAUGGAGUCAUUAUCGCGAAAAAUUCUUAUAAAGCUAGUAUGAUUUAAUAUAUGCAUGGUUUAGCAUUUGAGAAACACAAGAUUUUGUUUAAUAAAUUAUUUUUCAUAAACCAAAAAGUUUUUUUUUUAUAAGAUAAGUAUUUUUUUGGAUUUGAGCAUCGCAGUCCCCUUAGCUAAGAAUUGAAUCAACAAUUUGAGUAACGUAUCCAUUGAUUUGUUACUCCAUUAAUUAAGGACUUUGAUAUGCAUUAACCUGACAAUAAAACUUAACAAUGAUAAUCGUGCUCCAGAGAAAGGCAUCUUAUAACCAUCAUUUAACAAGCCACUCACUUUACAAGUAUUUAAAUCCUCUAUUUCAUAAGGAAAUGUGUAUGCAUCCACAUUAGUUGAUUCUACAUCAAAUUCUUACAUUGGACCCCGUAAAUCAUCAAGAAUAUCAAAUAUGUCAUCAUGAUCAUGAGCAAUAUUACUAUUGUCUGUAGUUUCUAAUUCCUUCCUAGCUAAAAGCGAACUAGACUCACAUUUUUCACCAUGGUAAACCCAUAUAUCAUAGGUAGGUGAGAUCCCCAACUUGUACAAAGGAUCAUAAACUACAUUUAAUGGUCUAAAAAUUGCAUUCAAACACUUUUGACAUAGACAACAGAGGCAAUAAUUCUCAUCUGCACACUUCUCUAUAGCUUUCAUAAAUAAAUUAACAUCAUUUCGAUAUUCAUCACAAAGUUUAUUUUUAAGUCACAUCCAACUUUAAUCCAUUGUUGACAUCUUAAUCAAAUCAAAUCCUAUUCAUAUUAGUGUUUCAUUAAUUUCUAAGAAUGUUUCAUUAACAAUUAUUUAGGAACACCCAAAAAGAAAUAUAAGCACUACCACACACAAAAAUUAUUAAUUUAAUUCUAAGAAAUAAUGUGACAUAUUUCUCAAAAUAACAAUCUAUGAUUUUAACAUCGUAUAGAGAAAUGUAAAACUAUUUUAAAUAUGACAACUAAAAACUCACAUGAAAUUAUUCGUAAUAUGCUUGCCAAUAGCUAUGAGAGUUGAGCGGGUAUUUGCUUGAAGAUAUGAGAAUUGGCUAUCCUUUUUUUUGCAUAAAAACAUUAGCAAAUAACAAUCAAUUUUUGUUUCUACGAAAUGUGAAAAAAAAGGAAAAACAAUAUAAAAAGUGAAAAGCAGGAAAAGCUUUAUCAAUGACAAAAAAAAAGUAAAAAUAUUUCCCCAAAAAAAACCAAAUAACAUAUUUAUCUAGUAAAAAUAGCAAAAUAGCAGUAAAAAAAGUAAAUAAUAGUAGAAACAACAAAAUCAGCAGUAAUUAACAGUAAAAAAUUACCUAAAAUAACAAAAAAAAUAAUAGAUUUAUCCAAUAAAAAAGUAGAAAUAACAGUAAAUUACAUUAAAUAAUAGUAAAAAUAGAACAAUAGAAAAUAAUAGUAAAAAGUUACCUAAACAACAAAAAAAAUACCAAAUAAUAGAUUAUCCAGUAAAAAUAGUAAAGUAGCAGCAAACAACAGUAAAUAACAGUAGAAAUAACAAAGUUAGCAGUAAAUAAUAAUAAAAAGUUACCUAAAAUAGCAGAAAAAACACAAGUAAUAGAUUCAUCCAAUAAAAAAAAGCAAAAACAACAGUAAAUUACAGUAAAUAACAAUAGAAACAGCAAAAUCAGCAGUAACAGCAACAAAUGGGGGCAAAAAAUAGUACAAACAGGAGAAACAACGACAAAUAACAAUAGAAACAAUAAUAAAUGAUAGAAGAAGCAGCAUAAACAACAACAAAUAAUAGUAGAAAUAACAGCAAAUAAUAGUGGAAACAUAAGAACGAACAACAAAUAAUAGCACAAAAUAGUUACCCACAAACAACAAAAAGUUACCAAAUAACAGCUUAAACAAUAAGAAUCCAGACUUGGUUGGAUGACUAGCUACCUUUCUGUUGUUUGUUUUGUUGGCCUUUUUGUCUUAUGUUUUAAUCAUUCUCAGAAAGUUAUAUAAUCUAUUGAUCUAAUCUACAGCUUGCAAUUUUUUCUAUUGAAAUAUGAUAUAUUGAAGUUGCAAAAGUUGUAUAAUAUGACUCUAAAUCCAAGUAUGUAAAUUCUCUCUAUGCGUCUUUACGUAAUGGUAAUCUCAUCAUAAGGAAAAUGGUUCCACUUAACUUAAUUAGUGGACUCAUUUUUUCAACUUUGUAUUUUUAUAAGUGCUUAUUUAGACUUUCUAUAAGUGUAGAGAUUUAGACUUCAAGUGUAGUACAAAAGGAAUUAGGAAAAAAAGAAAAGAAAAUGGCAAUCGUUUUUCUUUCUUGAGCUGAAUUAUUUAUGAAAUUCUUAUGAUUUAUUAGAUCAUGACAGUUGAUUUGAACUUGACUUAUCCUAGUGGGUUGGCUAGUACAGUUCUUGAAUCGUGAGUGAGUGACGAGCAGCGGCUGCCGAAUAUGACAAUAGUAGGUUUGCGGCAGUAGACGACGGUGAUGGUAGUGGAUGCUUGACCUUAAAGGCUUGAAUUGUGUUUGGUGAGAGUUAGGUUGUGAAUGUGUGAGAGAUAGAUGAAUGGAUUGUUGAUUUAGGAUAAGAAAAUAGAUAGGAAUUGUCAGAUUUUGAUUUUUGCUUUUUAUAAUUUUAAUUAAACUCACCAAACUGAUUGGUUCAUAAUAAACUAUACUUUGAAAAAUUCUAAUUUAUAUAAUUAAAUUGAAUUGAUCAUUUAUAAUUACAUAAAUAAAAAUCUUAUGUGAAAAAUAUUUUAUUUUAAGUUUAAAUGAUAAUUUGUUUUAAAAAGAAAAUUAACUACCUUAUACUUGGUCAUAAAUUUAACCAUAUAUUCUAUCAACCAUAUGGGUUAAUUUUAAUUUUAACCUUUAAAAGAUAUACCAUAUUUUAUUUAAUUCAUAAUUUUAAUCAAAAUAUAUGCAAGUGUUCUAACUUUAAGCUAAAUUGAACUACCUACCAUUCAAUCAUUAUAUUGAAAUUAAGAAGCGUGCAAUCAAAUGAGCAACUAAUCACUUAUAACUAAAAGUCUCAUAAUACGAGUAGUCAUAAGUCUUAAUAAAAAAUGACUUAGUUUUACAAAAAUCUGUUAGUUUUUCCUCCGAUUGGCAAAAUUUCCUUAAUCUCGAUUGGGAUUCGAGAUUCCGCCUUAUUUAUGUAGGAUUACAAAUAAAAUUUUAUCUCAAUUUACUAUUCGGGUUGAUUCAAGACGUUUGGAUUAAUAAUUAACACAUUUUAUUUUUCUUCAUUUUUUAAAAUAUCAAUAAGUUUUUGUUAUUAUAAUGAAGAUUAUAUUACUUGUUAAUUAAUAAAAAGAUUAAUCAUGAACAAUAAUUUAAAUAAUUGAAAAUGCGUUCUAAAUUUACAACUUUAUAUUGAUUUACUAUAUCUGUAGCAACAAAACAGUAAAUGUGCCGCCAAAAAGUAGUUAUUGGCAAUAAUUAUUUUUCAUAAUAUUUUAAAAUAAGGUAUCCGUUCCCGCUGACGAAAAUUAGUUCGUCCCCAAAGACAAGUAUUAGCAUGUAACAAAAACAGUUUCAUCCCUAAAGAUAAAUAUAAGCAGAUUUACUAUUUUAGCAAGAAAACAUAUUUCGUCACUAAAACUAUUUUUUGCGACGAAUUUGCAUUCAUUGUGGAAAGUUUACAUUUCAAUUCUCCUUUAUUGCAACAAACAUAUGUCAUCGCGAAAACAAAUUUUAGUGACAAAACCAUUUUUGUAGCCAUAAGCCCGAUUAAGCGACAAAAAUUUUCAUCCCGAAAAACAAGUACGGUGACAAACACAAUUUUGUUGCUAAAUAUCUCUUUAGCGACAAAACAAAUCAUCGCUAAAGAAUCUAAUGUGGUUACUAAAUAUAUACUUUCAGCGAUACAAAUUUUCAUUGCAAAAUAUUGAAAUCUCGUUACUAAAACUCUUGGCGCCAACUUUUUUUGCCGCCUAAUUUUUUGGCAAUGACAAAAAUUAUUUGUCGCAAUACGUAUUUUUUAGCGACGAAAAUUUUAUCGCUAAAACAUAUAAUUAAAUAUUAAUUUUUCUUCAUUGGAUUUGGCGACAAGAUGGUUUUUCGUCUCUAAAAGCCCCUUUUGGUGACAAAGAUAAUAUAUAAGCUCUAGAUCUCCCAUCCUGAAAGCUCGUGGGUAAAUCCUCUUGUUGAAUAACCCAGAAACACAGUGUUGAUAUGUUGCCAUUUUCAAUUCUACUCUUGCCUUUUUUCUUUGCAAGGGCGAUAACAAGGGCGAUAUUCUCAUCCUCGUUGAACUAUUCUGCCCUAUAAGAAGGAUUUCCUAUCUCAGAUGGGAUUACUGCAUGUACUUCGAAGCUAAGAGUGAAAGGUUUUCCUCCUAUAACAAUAUUCUGAGUAGUUCCGUAGGCCUACAGAAUAGUGUCAAGAACGCCAAAUCUGGUUGUCAAAUAGCUUUCCCCAACCCUGAGCAAAACUCUCUAAAAUUCUGGUUGUCAAAUUGCUUCAUAUUGUCACUUACAAUAGUGUCAGGAACGCCGAAUCUACAAAUGAUGGAUCUUCAGAUGAUCUCAGUAAUUUUCCUCUAGGUGACUAUAGAAAAAAUGUUCUUCUUCAGCCCAUUUAUGCAAUAAUCUACAUUCACUAUAGCAUACUUGGCUUGUGCUCUUCUUGUUGGCAUCGGGCCUAUAAGGUCAACUCUCUUAGAUUUUUUUAAAUUAAUCUAAUAUUUGGGGCCACACAUGAAACAAAUAAAAUGUGUGUGCUAUUAUUUAGUUACCCAAUAAUUAAGUGAUCUAUUUAAUAUUAAUUAAAUGGCUAAGGGUAUAAUUGUUGUGGGUUAAAUGCAUAGAUACCGGAGUUUUAAUUAUCACUUUAAUAAGGGGCUGAAGUGAUAAUAAACACAUGAUAACUACUAAACGGUUUUUAUUAAAACCAUCAGUUACGUUAUUUUAAAAAGGAGGUUAGGUCCCCAAUCUCUCUUAACUCUUAAUAAUUCUAAAAACCUCUCAACGAGAAUUCUUAAUCAAGGAGAAGAGAUUAGAUUGGAAGACCAUCACAAAAAAUCAAGAAAUCUUUGUGCAACAACGAUGGAUUCAGAUAUGCUUCUGAAAUUGUACUGCUCAAUAUUUUUAAUCUGGAUUCUUAUGAAGAUUUAGGAAAUUACAAGUGGUAUCAGAGCCUCAUCCAUGAUUAGAUUAUUGAGAUACAAUAUUUGAUUAAUAGUAAUAUUCAAAUCGAUUUGCUAAUCCAUGAAUAGAUUAGCGAGAAUAAUUAAAAAUUUGUAUGUUAUUUUUUUUUUAAACAUGAAACCGAAGCAUGAUCAUUUAAAUCGAGUUUGUAGUGGCCAUGUAAUAGUUUUCAAUAUUUAAUAUUUAGUUGAAUUCAAAUUUGGAUGGUAAAUUUGUGACGAUUAUUAGGAUAACUUAAUGUGAAUAAUGUACUAAUCCAUUACUUGACAUAACUUAUCGUCAAAAUUUGAUCAUUGCAACAAGAGUACCAUUUACAAUUAGUAUUAUAGUCCAAAGACUUGUUACUAAUGUUGUGCUAGGUAUCUUGAAAUGUUAUUAUUUGCUUUUAAAUUUUUAAAGAUUAUUAAUUACGCUAUUUAAUGUGAGCAUUAUUUGUUUAUUUAAAUUUUAUUUAUUUUUUGUUCUCGAUUCAGCUUUUCUAUCUGCUGCUUUUAUAUAUGCAAAUAUAAAUAGUAUCCCGGUUCUGAAUGGGACUAAUUUUAAGGACUAGAAAGAGAAUAUGAUGAUUCUCUUAAGCUGCAUCGAUCUAGACUUGUCAUUCAAACACCCUAAGCCGGACCAACUCACUGAUGAUAGUACAUCUAAGGAUGUGUUGUACUAUGAGAAGUGGGAUCAAUCUAAUAGGAUAAGUCUUAUAAUCAUGAAGCGCGGCGUUCUAGAAGUAUUUAGGAGUGCUAUAACCGAUAAGGUUACAAGUGCUAGUAAGUUUCUUGCCGAAAUUCAGAAACGUUUUACAAAAAAUGAUAAGGCUGAAACAAGUACGCAUUUAGCAAGCUUGAUUUCGAUGAAGUAUAAAGACAAGGGAAACAUCGGGAGUACAUCAUGAAGAUGUCUCAUCUUGCUUCUAAGCUUAAGGCAUUAGGGCUCGACCUAUUUAAUGAUUUGGUCGUGCAUUUGGUCCUUAUUUAAUCAGUUCAAAGUCAGUUACAACUGUCAGAAAGAGAAAUGGAAUCUCAAUGAACUAAUUUCCUUUUGUGUUCAAGAAGAAGAGAGACUGACGAAAGAGAAAACCGAAUAUGCACAUGUGGUAAGCACUUCUAAAGAUAAGGGCAAAAGAAAGAAAAAGGGUGAAGCUGUUGCUUCUAAGGGUCUAGAGCCAAAGAAA